UUCCGAUCCGUACUGGGCAUUUGGCUCAUGCCGUAUUCUUCUUCUGGCAGGUACUUAGGGGGAUUCGGGACUGUGUGAUGGAGAGCAGCCCUUUCUUUUCAUUGAUUAGGAUUUAUGGACUUCUAGCAUUUAUUCAGUUUUAUUGUUGGAGAUUCUAUUUCUUCGCAUUAUUCGGAUUUAAUUAUUUUGGAGGAUUUAAAUCAUUUGAGGAAUUAUUAGACCUGUUUAGUAUUGUUUCGAAUAUAUUAUCGCUCUGUUUGCAGGUUUUGGAUUUGUAGGUAACUCCUCGUCCUAAUUUAAGAUGGGGGUGUUACAAAGUUGGUAUCAGAGNGAAUUAUUAGACCUGUUUAGUAUUGUUUCGAAUAUAUUAUCGCUCUGUUUGCAGGUUUUGGAUUUGUAGGUAACUCCUCGUCCUAAUUUAAGAUGGGGGUGUUACAAGUAUCUUAUGCCUUAGUAGAUAUUAAUAUAAAUUUACACUGGUUGAAUGUCAGAUUGCACCGAUGUACAUUCAUUAGAUGUGGCAUUGUGAUUUUUUUUUCAUUUUAAAUAAUAAGUAGAGGCUCGAUUAGGCUCGUAAACCUCACGAGUCGAGUAAUUUGAAGCUUGAGCUUGGCUCGACAGAGUAUUCAAGUAGCUUGAGUUCUAGCUCGGCUUAAUUAUUAUAGAACCGAAUUCAAAUAUUUUAUGAGGUGAACUCGAGUAGCUCACAAACAUUUCGACUUAUUUACAGCCCCAGGGAGUAAUAAUAGAAUUACAAAAUCACAAUGCUACAUCUAAACUGUUAACUUCUAUAAACUCUCUUUUGCUUCAUUAAUGUGUCCUAGACGAGACCACUAGUUAAAUACAAAAUGGUUUUUCAUAGGUCAACGCCUAGGCGGAUCAGGUGGUUUCCUAUUUUCUUUCUAAAAAGUUUACAACAAAAAAUAUUAUGAUUCCGAUAAGUAAAAAGUUAAACACAUAUAACAAUAUACAAGUUGAGACUUUUCAUUAUGAUAUAUUGUUGGCACUGUUCUAGGAAAAAAAAAUAUCGAUAAUUAUAUACUGCUAUGUGAAAGCAAAAAUUGUACCUUGUUUCAACAUAUGACCUAUACUUGAAUCAGCAGUCAAGCUUCAGCAUCAGAUUCACAGUCCUCGCCAGACCAUAUACGGGGCUUAGGUCUAUAAUCCAUUCUCUCCUCUGCCUAAUAAAAGUCAACAAUAAUAAAAUCAAGCAGAAGUUAAGAUAUCUAAACCCAAAGACAAUGCAAGUGUUGCUCUAGAAUAAAAAUAUAACAUCAAGAACAAAACUGUGCCACCAACCUGUUCUGGAACUCUGGUGACUGGUGGAGCCGUCUGAAACUGUACGCUGGGUGUAUGAGUCAAUCUAGAAAUCUGUUCAAGGAGGAGAUUCCUGCAGUGGCAAUGUACAUGUCAUAAAAAUUACCUUAGAACAGUGAUAAAUCCAACAUUAUAUCUUUAAUCUAAAGCAAAAUAACAAGAAAUCCUCAAAAUUGAACACUUAUUCCUAGCAAACAAGCUCAUUCAAGCGUAGCAACUAUAUAUACAUAUAUAUAUAUACAUAUACAUACAUACAUACAUAUAUAUAUAUAUAUAUAUAUAUAUAUAUAUAUAUAUAUAGAUUGAUAGACACCUAGAUUAAAGCAAAUCAAGUGCAUCAAAAGUGAAAUAACAGGCAAGACGGUGCUCCGAGAACUAUUAUUUCAUAAAGCAUGUGCGGAAGAUUCAGUGUAUAUAUAUAAUACUACAAUGCAUAUUGUUUGAUUGCAGAGAGUAUUGAAUAAAAAAAAUACUCGCCCUGUCCAAAAAUGAUUCGUUUUGACUUUUUGCACAUAUGUCAAGAGGCAAAUUUGUUUGCCUUCUCUCGCGUAUUUUGAGGUGCAACAAAACUACUUCAGUAAAAUGUAUUUUCAAUAUUCUUUUUUUAACAAAAAUUUAAAAGCUGCACUUCUAUUAAAAAAAGAAUUUAAAAAAAAUGGGAAGUAAAUUUGUAUUGCUAAUCUACAAAAAGUCAAAGCAACUCUUACUCCGAGAAAAGAGGGAGUAAUACAUUAACCACAUCGUAUAUAUGUAAAAUUACUCGUACAAACUCAAAUAUGAUGAUCAUUAAUAAAUACAGCUUAAUAUUUACCUGAUCUUCUCUAGAUCGGCUGGAGAGUUGUGGUUCUCAACAGGAGUUGGUCGCACAUGAAGGGUGUAAUCUGGGCCAAAGUACUCAAAGUAAUCAUUGUAAGGCAAUUUAUUGUCAGGUUCCACCCCAACUGCAACUGCUGUCUGCAGAAUAAAUGAGUAAAACAACCAAGAUUUAGAAAGAAUAUUGAGUAUGAAUACCAUUGAGAAAAAAGGGAGAGAGAGGGGUGAGAGAGAGAACCUCAUAGCACCAGCAUCGGGCCACAUUCCGCAUUGUAUACCCACCCCCACCAAGGACCAUUAGAGGAACGUUGAAAGAUCUGAGGAACCUCAGGCAAUCGGCGUGACCUUUUACCGACAAGUUGAAGCAUCCCAACCUGUCACCAGCCAGUGAAUCAGCUCCACAUUGGAGCACAACUGCUUCAGGUUGGUAGGCCUCCAUGACUUUACGGAUUACUGGUCGAAAUAGGUCUUGAAAACUGUCAUCAUCGAUACCAUCAUUCAGUGGCACGUUAAGGGCAUAAUUCUUGCCCUGACCAUGUCCAACAUCUUUAAUGUGCCCAGUUCCAGGAAAGAAGUCACCAAAUUUAUGAAAAGACACCGUCAUUACUCUGUCUGUAGUAUAAAAGGCCUCUUCCACACCAUCCCCAUGGUGGAUGUCAAUAUCAAUAUACAACACACGCUGCGCAGUAGAACUCAGUUUGUCAGGAUUUAUUAUCAAUACAGAAACAGUACAAAAGAAAAUUUGAGCUAACAGUACAAAAGAUUAAAAAGAUUGCAAUGCACGCGUAAUUAUAUCUCACAAGCUGCACUUAAGGAAUAAGUUGGAGCAUACAUUCAGGACAACCGAGCACCCAAAAAUAUAAAUUAGAGGAUGCAGAAAGACACCUUGCAAAAAAUUACUGUUCUUUAUUUGUUUAGGUAGCGGGGAGCAGAACCUAUCGUAAUUUCAUGAUGAACUAACAAUUCUAAUGUAAAUAAUUCUUCAAGAAAUACAGUAAUUACAAACUAAUCUAGUGGUAUUGCUAUCAUCCAUGUAAUUUAAAAAAUGAACGAGACAACCGUCUCAGUUCUUCACUUUUUUUUGUUGGUAUAACUAGCAUGUUGACACAAGAAGCGGACAUUUAUUUUGCUGCAAUGUAGUAUGAAUAUGUAUCCAACUAGUACAUACUUGUUAGUUAGGAGCAAAACUAUAAACAACUGCUUGCAAAGAGGAAUGCAGAUAACAAGUAUGAUAAUCAAAUUCGAGUAAAUUAAUUAAGUAAUCCUUUGCAGCAGGAAACAUCAAGUUGGUAAAUUACCCUGUAGACUUUAAUCACAAACACAUAAAUUCCCCGCUAGCAAACACCUAAAUUAUAAAUCAUAGGAUAUACUUCAAGGAGCUCAACAAAUACCAAGAUCAAUAUGAUUACAUUGAAAGAUGCAAUUGGACUAAACAACCAAACCCCCAAACUCAAAACCCCUAAAAAUCAAAAAUUUAAUCAUGCCCAGAUCAAGAAACAACAAAAUCAAACCAUACAAACACAUUGUAUCAUAUAAUUCGGCACAUACAAUUCAAAUAAACAACCAAGACCUGGAAAUCAAAAACCCAAAAAAAUCUAAAAAACAACAAACAAUACCCUGUGCCUUUUAAGCAGCUCAAGAAUGCCGAGCACAAUGUCAUUAACAUAGCAAAACCCUGAAGCCUCUGACUUUUUCGCAUGAUGCAGCCCUCCCGCCCAAUUAAUCGCAAUAUCAGCCUCCUGCAAAUUCAUCUUCACUGCCGCCCCAAUCGACCCCCCAGCACUGGCCUGACAAAACCCAAACAUCCCAUCAAACACCGGACAAUCCCCGCCCAUCUUGAAGCUCUUCAAGUGCCUAGCAUGCUCAUGAUCAUGUGAUGAUUCCGGGGUGACUGAGGCGAGAAAGUCGACGUAUUCUUCGGAGUGGAACUUCCCGAUGUCGGCAGGGGCGGCGGGGAAGGGGCAGAUGAUCUCCAUCUUGCGGUGGAGAUUGUAGUGCUUGAUGAGGUUGUGGGCCACGCGGAUGCGGUGGGGCUUCAUGGGGUGGCCUUGGCCGUAGUAGUAGUCACCGAUGGUGGGCUCGUAGAAGUAGGUGACGCGGCGCUUGGUGGCGUCAGAGCCGGGGGAGGGGAGGGAGGCGCCGGAGAAACCGUCGGUGGCCAUUUGGUUCUGGGGUUUCAGUGUGUGUGUGUUUGGUGAGGAGGUGUGAGAAAAGAGUGAAAGGGGGUUUCAGUGUUGGUGGGGGGUUGUAUUUAUAGGGGGAAGUAUCGAGCAGCAGUAAAUUUAGGAGUUUUCGGUUUGGUUGUAGCAAAUAGAUCGAGUGUAAUAGUAAUUUUACGGAAUUGUUGAUAGAAGCCUCAUGAAGUGAAUUUGGUUUUUUGAUUGAUUUUCGAUAUAAAUGAUCAAUCAUAGAUGAAAGUAUCGAGUAGCAGUGAACUUGAGAAUUUUUAAUUUAGUUUGGGGAACAAAUUGAGUGCAGUGACAAUUUUACAAAGUUAUUAAUAGAAGACUCGUAAAGUGAGUUUGGGUCCCACCGUCAAUUCUAGAUAUGAAUGGGUCAUAGGCGGAAGUAUCGAGUAGCAGCAAAUUUGAGGAUAUUCAGUUUUGUGAAGCUGUUGAUAGACGAUUCAUGAAGUGAGUUUGGGUCACCACCGAUCAUGGGUGUAAAUAGAUAAUAAGCGGAAGUAUCGAGCAGUAGUAAAUUUACGGGGUUUUGGUUUGGUUUAGGAAAUAAAUUGAGGGCAAUAGUAAUUUUGUGAAACUGUUGAUAGAAGUCUCGCGAAGUGAGUGUGGUUCUAUUAUAAAUCUUGGAUAAAAACGAUCAUAGGCGAAAGUAUCAAGCCGUAGUAAAUUUGAGAAUUUUUAAUUUGAUUUUAGAAACAAAUUGAGUGAAGUAAUAAGUUUAUAAAAUUAUUGAUAAAGGACUCAUAAAGUGAGUUUGGGUCCCACCACCGAUUUCGGAUGUGAACGGGUCGUAGGCGGAAGUAUCGAGUAGUAAUAAAUUCAGAGAUAUUCGGUUUGAUUCUGGAAACAAAUUGGAUGCAAUGGCAGUUUUGUGAAAUUGUUGAUAGAAGAUUCGUGAAGUGAGUUUGGGUCCCACCACCUAUCUCGAGUAUAAACGGAUCAUAGGGGAUGAGUAGUAAUAAGUUUUAUGGAUUUUCUGGUUCAGAAACAAAUUGGGUGUAGUUGUAAUUUUGUGAAAUUGUUAAUAGAAGACUCGUGAGUGAGUUUGGGUCCCACCAUCGAUCUUGGGUAUAAACGGGUCAUAGGCGAAACAUCGAGCAACAAUAAAUUUGAGGGUUUUCAGUUUGAGUUAAGAAACAAAUUGGAUGCAAUGGUAAUUAUGUGAAGUUGAUAGAAGACUCGUAAAAUGAGUAUGGGUCCCACACCACCGAUCUCGGGUGUAAACGGGUAAAAUUGAGUUAUUUGAGUUUAUUUUAAUGAUACGAGUUGAGUUCGAAUAUGAGAUUUUCGAUUAUUUAUUAAACUUAGAUCGGGUUUUAAAUCAUUCGAUUCAAAAGUUCGCGAGCUUCAUCGGGUUUUUAUAUAUAUUAUAUAUACAUAUACAUACAUGCAUGCUUACAUACAUACAUACAUACAUACAUAUAUACAUACAUAUAUAUAUAUAUAUAUAUUAUAAAUAUAUGUUUAUAAAUUUCUAUGUGGUAAAUGUAUUUCAAGUCAAGACAAUUUAAAUAUCUAAUCAAAAUGAUUUCAGUUGAAGUCAAGUCAAGAAACGGACAGUUAUUUUGCUGCAAUGUAGAAUGAAUCUGUAUCCAACUAGUACAUACAUAAUAUAUAUAUAUAUAGAUUGAUAGACACCUAGAUUAAAGCAAAUCAAGUGCAUCAAAAGUGAAAUAACAGGCAAGACGGUGCUCCGAGAACUAUUAUUUCAUAAAGCAUGUGCGGAAGAUUCAGUGUAUAUAUAUAAUACUACAAUGCAUAUUGUUUGAUUGCAGAGAGUAUUGAAUAAAAAAAAUACUCGCCCUGUCCAAAAAUGAUUCGUUUUGACUUUUUGCACAUAUGUCAAGAGGCAAAUUUGUUUGCCUUCUCUCGCGUAUUUUGAGGUGCAACAAAACUACUUCAGUAAAAUGUAUUUUCAAUAUUCUUUUUUUAACAAAAAUUUAAAAGCUGCACUUCUAUUAAAAAAAGAAUUUAAAAAAAAUGGGAAGUAAAUUUGUAUUGCUAAUCUACAAAAAGUCAAAGCAACUCUUACUCCGAGAAAAGAGGGAGUAAUACAUUAACCACAUCGUAUAUAUGUAAAAUUACUCGUACAAACUCAAAUAUGAUGAUCAUUAAUAAAUACAGCUUAAUAUUUACCUGAUCUUCUCUAGAUCGGCUGGAGAGUUGUGGUUCUCAACAGGAGUUGGUCGCACAUGAAGGGUGUAAUCUGGGCCAAAGUACUCAAAGUAAUCAUUGUAAGGCAAUUUAUUGUCAGGUUCCACCCCAACUGCAACUGCUGUCUGCAGAAUAAAUGAGUAAAACAACCAAGAUUUAGAAAGAAUAUUGAGUAUGAAUACCAUUGAGAAAAAAGGGAGAGAGAGGGGUGAGAGAGAGAACCUCAUAGCACCAGCAUCGGGCCACAUUCCGCAUUGUAUACCCACCCCCACCAAGGACCAUUAGAGGAACGUUGAAAGAUCUGAGGAACCUCAGGCAAUCGGCGUGACCUUUUACCGACAAGUUGAAGCAUCCCAACCUGUCACCAGCCAGUGAAUCAGCUCCACAUUGGAGCACAACUGCUUCAGGUUGGUAGGCCUCCAUGACUUUACGGAUUACUGGUCGAAAUAGGUCUUGAAAACUGUCAUCAUCGAUACCAUCAUUCAGUGGCACGUUAAGGGCAUAAUUCUUGCCCUGACCAUGUCCAACAUCUUUAAUGUGCCCAGUUCCAGGAAAGAAGUCACCAAAUUUAUGAAAAGACACCGUCAUUACUCUGUCUGUAGUAUAAAAGGCCUCUUCCACACCAUCCCCAUGGUGGAUGUCAAUAUCAAUAUACAACACACGCUGCGCAGUAGAACUCAGUUUGUCAGGAUUUAUUAUCAAUACAGAAACAGUACAAAAGAAAAUUUGAGCUAACAGUACAAAAGAUUAAAAAGAUUGCAAUGCACGCGUAAUUAUAUCUCACAAGCUGCACUUAAGGAAUAAGUUGGAGCAUACAUUCAGGACAACCGAGCACCCAAAAAUAUAAAUUAGAGGAUGCAGAAAGACACCUUGCAAAAAAUUACUGUUCUUUAUUUGUUUAGGUAGCGGGGAGCAGAACCUAUCGUAAUUUCAUGAUGAACUAACAAUUCUAAUGUAAAUAAUUCUUCAAGAAAUACAGUAAUUACAAACUAAUCUAGUGGUAUUGCUAUCAUCCAUGUAAUUUAAAAAAUGAACGAGACAACCGUCUCAGUUCUUCACUUUUUUUUGUUGGUAUAACUAGCAUGUUGACACAAGAAGCGGACAUUUAUUUUGCUGCAAUGUAGUAUGAAUAUGUAUCCAACUAGUACAUACUUGUUAGUUAGGAGCAAAACUAUAAACAACUGCUUGCAAAGAGGAAUGCAGAUAACAAGUAUGAUAAUCAAAUUCGAGUAAAUUAAUUAAGUAAUCCUUUGCAGCAGGAAACAUCAAGUUGGUAAAUUACCCUGUAGACUUUAAUCACAAACACAUAAAUUCCCCGCUAGCAAACACCUAAAUUAUAAAUCAUAGGAUAUACUUCAAGGAGCUCAACAAAUACCAAGAUCAAUAUGAUUACAUUGAAAGAUGCAAUUGGACUAAACAACCAAACCCCCAAACUCAAAACCCCUAAAAAUCAAAAAUUUAAUCAUGCCCAGAUCAAGAAACAACAAAAUCAAACCAUACAAACACAUUGUAUCAUAUAAUUCGGCACAUACAAUUCAAAUAAACAACCAAGACCUGGAAAUCAAAAACCCAAAAAAAUCUAAAAAACAACAAACAAUACCCUGUGCCUUUUAAGCAGCUCAAGAAUGCCGAGCACAAUGUCAUUAACAUAGCAAAACCCUGAAGCCUCUGACUUUUUCGCAUGAUGCAGCCCUCCCGCCCAAUUAAUCGCAAUAUCAGCCUCCUGCAAAUUCAUCUUCACUGCCGCCCCAAUCGACCCCCCAGCACUGGCCUGACAAAACCCAAACAUCCCAUCAAACACCGGACAAUCCCCGCCCAUCUUGAAGCUCUUCAAGUGCCUAGCAUGCUCAUGAUCAUGUGAUGAUUCCGGGGUGACUGAGGCGAGAAAGUCGACGUAUUCUUCGGAGUGGAACUUCCCGAUGUCGGCAGGGGCGGCGGGGAAGGGGCAGAUGAUCUCCAUCUUGCGGUGGAGAUUGUAGUGCUUGAUGAGGUUGUGGGCCACGCGGAUGCGGUGGGGCUUCAUGGGGUGGCCUUGGCCGUAGUAGUAGUCACCGAUGGUGGGCUCGUAGAAGUAGGUGACGCGGCGCUUGGUGGCGUCAGAGCCGGGGGAGGGGAGGGAGGCGCCGGAGAAACCGUCGGUGGCCAUUUGGUUCUGGGGUUUCAGUGUGUGUGUGUUUGGUGAGGAGGUGUGAGAAAAGAGUGAAAGGGGGUUUCAGUGUUGGUGGGGGGUUGUAUUUAUAGGGGGAAGUAUCGAGCAGCAGUAAAUUUAGGAGUUUUCGGUUUGGUUGUAGCAAAUAGAUCGAGUGUAAUAGUAAUUUUACGGAAUUGUUGAUAGAAGCCUCAUGAAGUGAAUUUGGUUUUUUGAUUGAUUUUCGAUAUAAAUGAUCAAUCAUAGAUGAAAGUAUCGAGUAGCAGUGAACUUGAGAAUUUUUAAUUUAGUUUGGGGAACAAAUUGAGUGCAGUGACAAUUUUACAAAGUUAUUAAUAGAAGACUCGUAAAGUGAGUUUGGGUCCCACCGUCAAUUCUAGAUAUGAAUGGGUCAUAGGCGGAAGUAUCGAGUAGCAGCAAAUUUGAGGAUAUUCAGUUUUGUGAAGCUGUUGAUAGACGAUUCAUGAAGUGAGUUUGGGUCACCACCGAUCAUGGGUGUAAAUAGAUAAUAAGCGGAAGUAUCGAGCAGUAGUAAAUUUACGGGGUUUUGGUUUGGUUUAGGAAAUAAAUUGAGGGCAAUAGUAAUUUUGUGAAACUGUUGAUAGAAGUCUCGCGAAGUGAGUGUGGUUCUAUUAUAAAUCUUGGAUAAAAACGAUCAUAGGCGAAAGUAUCAAGCCGUAGUAAAUUUGAGAAUUUUUAAUUUGAUUUUAGAAACAAAUUGAGUGAAGUAAUAAGUUUAUAAAAUUAUUGAUAAAGGACUCAUAAAGUGAGUUUGGGUCCCACCACCGAUUUCGGAUGUGAACGGGUCGUAGGCGGAAGUAUCGAGUAGUAAUAAAUUCAGAGAUAUUCGGUUUGAUUCUGGAAACAAAUUGGAUGCAAUGGCAGUUUUGUGAAAUUGUUGAUAGAAGAUUCGUGAAGUGAGUUUGGGUCCCACCACCUAUCUCGAGUAUAAACGGAUCAUAGGGGAUGAGUAGUAAUAAGUUUUAUGGAUUUUCUGGUUCAGAAACAAAUUGGGUGUAGUUGUAAUUUUGUGAAAUUGUUAAUAGAAGACUCGUGAGUGAGUUUGGGUCCCACCAUCGAUCUUGGGUAUAAACGGGUCAUAGGCGAAACAUCGAGCAACAAUAAAUUUGAGGGUUUUCAGUUUGAGUUAAGAAACAAAUUGGAUGCAAUGGUAAUUAUGUGAAGUUGAUAGAAGACUCGUAAAAUGAGUAUGGGUCCCACACCACCGAUCUCGGGUGUAAACGGGUAAAAUUGAGUUAUUUGAGUUUAUUUUAAUGAUACGAGUUGAGUUCGAAUAUGAGAUUUUCGAUUAUUUAUUAAACUUAGAUCGGGUUUUAAAUCAUUCGAUUCAAAAGUUCGCGAGCUUCAUCGGGUUUUUAUAUAUAUUAUAUAUACAUAUACAUACAUGCAUGCUUACAUACAUACAUACAUACAUACAUAUAUACAUACAUAUAUAUAUAUAUAUAUAUUAUAAAUAUAUGUUUAUAAAUUUCUAUGUGGUAAAUGUAUUUCAAGUCAAGACAAUUUAAAUAUCUAAUCAAAAUGAUUUCAGUUGAAGUCAAGUCAAGAAACGGACAGUUAUUUUGCUGCAAUGUAGAAUGAAUCUGUAUCCAACUAGUACAUACAUACUUGUUAGUUAGGAUCAAAACUAUAAACAACUGCUUGCAAAGAGGAAUGCAGAUAACAUGUAUGAUAAUCAAAUUCGAGUGAUUAAUUAAGUGGUUAAUCCUUUGCAGCAGGAAACAUUAAGUUGGUAAAUUACCCUUGCAGACUUUAAUCACAAACACAUAAACUCCCCCACUACCAAACACCUAAAUUAUAAAUCACAGUAUAUACUUCAAGGAGCUCAACAAAUACCAAGAUCAAUAUGAUCACAUUGAAAGAUGCAAUUGGACUAAACAACCAAACCCCCAAAUUCAAAAUCCCUAAAAAUCAAAAAUUUAAUCAUGCCCAGAUCAAGAAACAACACAAUCAAACCAUACAAACACAUUGGCACAUAUAAUUCAAAUAAACAACCAAGACCACGAAAUCAAAAACCCGAAAAAAUCUAAAAACAGCAAACCAUACCCUGUGUCUUUUAAGCAGCUCAAGAAUGCCGAGCACAAUGUCAUUAACAUAGCAAAACCCGGAAGCCUCCGACUUUUUCGCAUGAUGCAGCCCUCCCGCCCAAUUAAUCGCAAUAUCCGCCUCCUGCAAAUUCAUCUUCACCGCCGCCCCAAUCGACCCCCCAGCACUGGCCCGACAAAACCCAAACAUCCCAUCAAACACCGGACAAUCCUCGCCCACAUUGAACCUCUUCAAGUGCCUAGCAUGCCCAUGAUCAUGUAAUGACUCCGGGGUGACCGAGGCGAGAAAGUCGACGUAUUCUUCGGAGUGGAAUUUGCCGAUGUCGGCGGGGCCGGCGGGGAAGGGGCAGAUGAUCUCCAUCUUGCGGUGGAGAUUGUAGUGGAUGAUGAGGUUGUGGGCCAUGCGGAUGCGGUGGGGCUUCAUGGGGUGGCCUUGGCCGUAGUAGUAGUCGCCGAUGGUGGGCUCGUAGAAGUAGGUGACGCGGCGCUUGGUGGCGUCGGAGCCGGGGGAGGGGAGGGAGGCGCCGGAGAAGCCGUCGUUGGCCAUUUGGUUCUGGGGUUUCUGUGUGUUUUUUUUUUGGUGAGGGGUUGAGAAAAGAGUGAAAGGGGUUUUCGGGGCGUGUGUGUAGUAUUUAUAAGCGGAAGUAUCGAGUAAUAAAAUUUGGGGUUUUCAAUGUGAUUUAGGAAACGGACUGGGUUUCAAUUUGAUUUUUGCGGAAAGUUUUUUUCUGUUUGUCCAUGAAAAUUUAAUUAUAAUUGUUUACUUUUCAGUUAAGCGAAAUAUUUUGAUUGAUAAAUUUUUUUAUCAUGCGGUCAGUGUUAUUAAUGGGAUGGAAGUCGAUAGAAAACUAUCACCUAUUAAAUGCUUGUUAGGAUGUGAUGAUGAGAACACGAAAAUUCGUUUGUGGAAUUAUUGAUACGAUACUCGUGAAGUGAGUUUAGUUCCAUUAUUCAUCUCGGAUGUGAACGGAUUAAGUAGAAUUAUUCGAGUUUAGUUUAAUGAUAAUCGAGUUGAAUUCAAUUAUGGGAUUUUUGAUUAUUUACUUAAAGCAUCUCCAACGGCAUUGGUUAUAAUCGUUGGCUAAAUUGGACCUGUAAGACAUUAUGUAAAAUUUGCUGAACCUGUAAGACAUUUUGCUUCAAUGGUACUGGCUAUAUUAGUUGGCUAUAAUUUAAAAUUAGUAUGUUAUUAAUAUUUUAAAUUGUUAAAAUAGAAUAUAUCAGUUCAAUAUGGUAAUAAAUGAUGUACAAUCUUCCUACAGAUUUUCUUACAGACCUGUAGAGGUUCGACAAAUUUAGCCAUCCAUAGGAGGUUGGCUAAAUUUAUAGACAACAGCUCAUCAUGGUUGGAGUUGAGCUUUUGGAGCUGUUGGCUAAAUNNNNNNNNNNNNNNNNNNNNNNNNNNNNNNNNNNNNNNNNNNNNNNNNNNNNNNNNNNNNNNNNNNNNNNNNNNNNNNNNNNNNNNNNNNNNNNNNNNNNNNNNNNNNNNNNNNNNNNNNNNNNNNNNNNNNNNNNNNNNNNNNNNNNNNNNNNNNNNNNNNNNNNNNNNNNNNNNNNNNNNNNNNNNNNNNNNNNNNNNNNNNNNNNNNNNNNNNNNGUCGGCGGGGCCGGCGGGGAAGGGGCAGAUGAUCUCCAUCUUGCGGUGGAGAUUGUAGUGGAUGAUGAGGUUGUGGGCCAUGCGGAUGCGGUGGGGCUUCAUGGGGUGGCCUUGGCCGUAGUAGUAGUCGCCGAUGGUGGGCUCGUAGAAGUAGGUGACGCGGCGCUUGGUGGCGUCGGAGCCGGGGGAGGGGAGGGAGGCGCCGGAGAAGCCGUCGUUGGCCAUUUGGUUCUGGGGUUUCUGUGUGUUUUUUUUUUGGUGAGGGGUUGAGAAAAGAGUGAAAGGGGUUUUCGGGGCGUGUGUGUAGUAUUUAUAAGCGGAAGUAUCGAGUAAUAAAAUUUGGGGUUUUCAAUGUGAUUUAGGAAACGGACUGGGUUUCAAUUUGAUUUUUGCGGAAAGUUUUUUUCUGUUUGUCCAUGAAAAUUUAAUUAUAAUUGUUUACUUUUCAGUUAAGCGAAAUAUUUUGAUUGAUAAAUUUUUUUAUCAUGCGGUCAGUGUUAUUAAUGGGAUGGAAGUCGAUAGAAAACUAUCACCUAUUAAAUGCUUGUUAGGAUGUGAUGAUGAGAACACGAAAAUUCGUUUGUGGAAUUAUUGAUACGAUACUCGUGAAGUGAGUUUAGUUCCAUUAUUCAUCUCGGAUGUGAACGGAUUAAGUAGAAUUAUUCGAGUUUAGUUUAAUGAUAAUCGAGUUGAAUUCAAUUAUGGGAUUUUUGAUUAUUUACUUAAAGCAUCUCCAACGGCAUUGGUUAUAAUCGUUGGCUAAAUUGGACCUGUAAGACAUUAUGUAAAAUUUGCUGAACCUGUAAGACAUUUUGCUUCAAUGGUACUGGCUAUAUUAGUUGGCUAUAAUUUAAAAUUAGUAUGUUAUUAAUAUUUUAAAUUGUUAAAAUAGAAUAUAUCAGUUCAAUAUGGUAAUAAAUGAUGUACAAUCUUCCUACAGAUUUUCUUACAGACCUGUAGAGGUUCGACAAAUUUAGCCAUCCAUAGGAGGUUGGCUAAAUUUAUAGACAACAGCUGAUCAUGGUUGGAGUUGAGUUUUUGGAGCUGUUGGCUAAAUCUUUUUAUUUUAAGUAUGUCAACUCACCUUUUAGCCAAGGGUUUUAGAUGGUUGGAGAUGCUCUUAGAUCGAGUCUUAAAUUAUUUUAUUUGGUUUAGGUAGUUCGCGGGUUUAAUUGAGUUUGGAUCUUAUUAUUGAUUUCAGAAUUAAGCGGUUUAAAUUGAGUUAUGCGAAUUUAUUUUAAUGAUAGUCGAGUUGAGUUUGAAUUUGAAAUUUAUGAUUAUUUAUUAAAUUUAGAUUGAAUCUUAAAUUACUUUACUUGAUUUAGAGAGUUCGCGAGUUUAAUUGAAAUAUUAUAUAUUUACAUAUUAGAAGUGUUUAGUAUUGAUAAAUUGUAUAUGUUAAUUUUACUUUUUACUUUGAUUUAGAAAAUAAAUCGGGUGAAGUGGUAAUAUUGUGAAAGUGUUGACAGAAGAGUAAAGUGAGUUCGAGUCUCGAUACCAAUCUCAGGUGUUAAUAUUAAAAAAAAAAAUGAUCGGAAAUCUGCAGUUUAUAUUUAAAAUAUUGAACAAGUAUAUUUCUUUUAUAUAGAAAGUCCUGAUCUAUUUAUUUAUUUCGACAUAAUCCACUGCCAAAUCAAAUCCAGUAGCAAAACGUCCUCUCUCGGGAAGAAAUUGCACCAAAUUUCCACAGAACCGAGUUUUCUAAAGAGGAUGUUUUGCUACUGGGGAGAGCACAAAUGAGAAACAAAAGAACUGCUGCUUUUAAACACACAAUCAAACACAGGUACACACUCAUCGGGGAACCCAGCAUCCUAUUCUGUGCGGGAUGGACUGACCAUUUUUAUGAACAACAUUCAAACGAUGUCGAGAGCCUGCUAGAGACUAUGCUAAACACAUUGAAAAUGAGGAAAAAAUCCACAGAAAACAUUACGGUACAUAAGAGUGCUUAUGGUGGGAAUGAGCACCAGGCUGAUAGAGAGUGAGAUGGUCUACAGCUUUUGCGAACAGCUCCCUUAGUUCGGGAUGGUGAGCCAACAUAGACCGAGCUGCCCCCUCUAUAACACUCAACGCUCUUGCUUGUUCAAGCGCAGGGCUGUUACUGACAUGUAUUGCAAGGCAGCACAAUAAUAUGAAUUCGUGCUUCUGUGACCGAUCAUUGCUCUUAAGCAAAUUCAUUAGGCGUGGCACCCCAUUAGCCUCGAUUAUCGCCUUUGAAUGCUCCACACAAUUAAAAUUAUCUUGAGCUACAAAUUUACAAAGAGCAAUAGCAGCUUCAGUAGCCACAUCAACACUCUUAUGCCCAAGUUGGGUGACUAAAGGGCCAAGUAUUCGAGUUUCUUUUGCAGGAAAGGUUCUCGCCAAGGACCCUAUCGAUUUUAUAGUGGGAAUCAACAAGUGUACACUAUUCUCCUCAUUAAUUACUCUCAAGAGCUGUUCUAAAAUCACUCGAGCAGCAGGGGAGUUGGGCUUAAAAGCCACUUGUCUCAGAUCAGCAUUGGCUUCAGCCACUGCAGCCAACUCCAUCACUGUCAUCAAACAGUUGAGUUGCAACUCCCCAUGCUCCUUUUCAAUGAGUUUCGCUAGACAAACUAAAGCUUUUGUCUCAGUAAUUUUCCUACUAUUGAACAAACUUCCCUGGGCUAACUUCCACAAUGCCCCUGCACAACUAACUUUAAGCCUGUGUUUCAUAUCAGGUGACUCGGCUUCUCUCUCCUUGCGUCCACCUCUACUACUCCCAUCAGAAUACAAUGACAAUGACGACGAAGAAUUUGAAUGAAAAGUUUUCUUAGUAACUUCCUUAUUUAUCUGAACAAGUGAAUGUAUACUAGGCUUACCUGAGGGUGCCUUGGCUUCCUCCACAACAAUAUCCAUUCCCAACAAAGUCACCAACGGCCUAGUCACAUUCUCUCUUCCCAAGUCCUCCCGGACCCCUUCAUCCAAUUCCGCCAUUCUAGCCACUAAAUUCACCAACACAAUCUGAACCCUCAUCGGAGAUUCCCCAAUUGCUUUAACCACAAUCGGAACUGCUGAAACCUCACCGGCAAUUGCCUGAACCUUCUCCUGAUCAGUCCCUAAGUUAUAAAGAGCAGUAGCAGCCGCCAUUUGAGCUUCAGCAGAAGCCCCAUCUUUCAAAAGCUUAAGCAACGGCGCAACCCCACCUUCCUGCACUAUAAUUUUCAUGUUCCGGUUAUUGUCUCGAGCCAACGAAGCAAGCUCAUUGGCGGCAUCUACACGGUCCUUAAGCUGACCCAUCUGAAUAGUAGCUACAUAAGACCAAACCCACGCGAGAAUCGGGUCAUUACUCGCAAUUGGGGGAAGCGACAAAUUCGUUCCAGAUUCAGAAUCAUAAAUGGAGAUUAACCAUUUGAUAUCUGCAAUAGAAGACUCCAGAAGGUUCGAGACUUUACGAAAAUCAGCGGUGGUGGUAAUAGCAACGACCAAGCGGAGAACUCCACCAUGCUUGCACUUGCGCACUAGUUUCAACGCACGGUCAAGGUUCAUCGAACUGUCAGUAAUGAUACGGCGGAGGGGGCGUUCGUAUAAGGACUGAGUAGAGGAGGUGAGUCGGACGACAGAUCGGAGGAGGUGAGCGAGUUGGGUGGACUGUUUAGCGAGGUCAGAGCAUUCGAGUUUGGACGACUCGGCUUCUUGGGCGAGUUUGAUGACUCGUUCCGCGAGAAGGAUUUGGUGGGAGAGCUCGUCUUGGAUGCUAUUCUCAUCUUGAUCAGUAGCAGCAGUAGCAGCCAUUAGAGAUGGAAAGAGAGAAUGCUAGACUAGUUUAAAAAGGAUCACGAGUGAUGAAAAGUGCGUUCAGACAGACAAAUGUUCUUGAGAUUAUUCUACUACAAUAGAAAAGGGAACACUAGUGAUAUUAUUAUAUUAGUAUUAUGCAGGGAUAGUACUGAAAUAAUGUAAAGAAAUGAAAUUGGGAAAAGAGAGGGUAACGGUGGAUAUCACUUUUGUGGACCAGAACAACCGAGAAAAAGAGUACUGGUACAAUAAAUAAUACUCCCUCUGUUUUUUUUUAUAUGACACUUUUGACUUGGGCACGUAACUUUAGGUGGGUUGACCGGAUAGUAAAAAACAUUAUUUUUGAUUGAUUUUUUUUGUGAAUUAAAAUUUUGAUUGUAUAUUUUUAUUCAGAAAAAGAAAAAUUCAAAAAUAAUAUUUUUAACUAUCCGGUCAAAGCACUUAAAAGUGUGUGCCAAAAUGUCAAACGUCAUAUAUUAAAAAACAGAGGGAGUAGUAAAAUAAUAAAGUAUGAGAAGACCUUGACCUUUGAACUGGUAUUUGCUACAAAUGCUAGACUACUAGUAGUAGUAGACUCCGGUAUGAAUUUAAGUAUUUUACCAGGAAACACGCAAAUAAGAAAUGAAGACAUGUGGUGUUCAGAAAAAAAGAGUUAUCAAUCAACGUCAAAAGUUAAUGUACAAAAGCGUCAAGGGAAGUUGACGGCGAGGACGUAAUUGCUGAUUAACCUUGUUUCAUACAACUAUUUAGAGAUGUCUUUAGAAAGAAUAGGAGUGGGGAAAACGCAGAUGUGGUGAUGGAAGGCAUCAGAGCUUAGCCAUUAGCCCGUCUGAGACUGAUUUGGUGUCUCCGCUUUCUUUGGGAUCACCGUCUUUCACGUCCAGCUCGCAGGCAUUGGGCGGGACGUCUACAGCAGGUGAGCAGUUGAAGAAUCCAUGUGGCUGCACCCAUAGACAUCAGAAAUCAUGUUAAUAAUUGUUAUCAGUAAAUCUGAGUGUCGUCUAGUAUAGUUAAAGCUUUGUUAUAUAUAACACAAUGGUUAGGAAUUUUCCAAACACCACCGUAUGCAACAUGUCCACAAAUUUGUUUGGAGAAAUAGGCAUAUCUCAACUACUUGAUACACAGACGCAUCCUGACAGAAAGUUGAAAGCCUCUUCCUUGGGAGCUUGGUCGACCUUAAGCUAACUCAUUUAUGAACUCAUCAUUUUAUCAUGAAUUAGAAUCACUGUGAAGUUCUACAUAGAGUAAAUUAUGGUAUAAACCGUAACUGGAGUAUCAAGCAGAACAAACACAUGAAGCUAGAACAAAGGCCUCCCUGCAGUCAGCAGAGAGCCCAUUUAUACAGUAUUAUUACACUACUGUAGUACUAUUGCUUGCCAACUUUGACGGACCAGUUGAGCAAAUUCUAAUUUAAACAACACCAAUGAUUGUAGCAGAUCGUAUUCAUCAAAUUGAAAUAUCUUUUCCCAGAGGUACCAUAUUGGCUCACCUAAAUGCAUGCAGCAUAUUUUUAAUUUUUUACUCCUACUGCAUGGCGAGUACUCGAGAGGAAAUAACUAAAGAGUAAUAUUGUUGAAAGAUGACUUAAAUUUUUGCCCAUCUCAUACUCAUACUGUCACCCCAGAGUCCCAGACCAGUAGAAUUGUUGAACAUAUACUGUAUAGGGGUUUGCCAACAUGUACCUGGAGCAUAAAACCGAUGCGUUCUACAGGCAUGACAGGCCAAUCUUCCAAACGAGGAACAUGUGUUAUACCAAAAACAUACCUGCAUUUUACGGAAACAAGUAUACAUGAUCAAACUCUAUUUCUUUCAAUAGGAAAACAUAAGAAACAAGUUCAUCUGAAAAAUUGUAUUCUUCAUCUUACAUUUACUUUGUAGUAUUAACUCGCAAAGUGUUGAUCCAACAUCAUUUCUACUCUUAUUUAAAGAAGAAAAAUCCACAAUACAAGAGUUCAAAUAUAAUCUUGUGCCCAAGGUUGGAUGAAGAGAGACAAAUCAUUUGUGAAUAAUUAUGAAAACUAAUGUAAAAGCUUACCAAAGAACUAUAUUUGUUUCCUCUAGGGACCUGUCCUGCUUAACCCAUGAAGCUAAACCUUCACCAACUCGUGGAUUCUGGUUAGGAAACUCUCCUCCUGGAAAAUUCUCAUCCUGUGCAUAGGGUGUAACCCAGAGAUUGUGCUUCAAGAAACUAGCUCUUCUCAAAAACUUGGCCUCCGGACCAGCCAAAGGCAGACAGUUGGAACCAGGUACCAGCUUGUAGCCUGUCAGCUGUCCCGUCCUAUUCACUGUUCUUGUGUUUCUAACCUAAAGAAAAAAAGUGAUAUUCCAUAAUUGUGUUAAACAUUAAAAAUAAGGAUGACAAUCAUUAUAAAUCUUGAUUUAUACAAUUAAUGCCUAGUAGAAGGAAAAGUCAAGAAAGGUGUGAACAAGCAGAUAAAUAUGAAAAUAACAUUUACCUGCCCACAUAUAUAUACAUAUCCAUAUUAACCAUAAGACUGUUACCAGUGUAUAACUAACUAUAGUGAGAUCCAGUACAGUAAUCUACGUCGGUAAAUCUUGUGAGAGAGAACCAAAUCACAAUUGGUAUGAAGAGUUUAUCGGUUUGGGCGUGGAUGUUUUUAUUUGGACAGGGGCUACUGGAUUUAUCUCUAUGAACGCGUAAACAAGUACACAAAGAGACACGGAAUGAAUGGAACUCAGAAUUAUAAAAAAGGAACACAAAGAGACAAUGGAUCAGGCUAGAGCUAAAUGAAGACUUCCACAUACAGCUUAUAACUACACCCAGAAAGUCACAGAGAUACAAAAUCAAAUGCUAUUACUUUGCAGCCUUCUGUUAAAAGAAAGGGGGGAGAAGGAAAGGGAUGAAGAAGAAAUGAGAAAUUUAUCUACUAUAAGAUUUAUACACAAAUAAAAUGCAGAAAAGCUUUGAGCUAAUGUAAUAAAGCGAUGUUGGUAGAAAAAGGAUCGUAUCUCACUGAAAAAUCUUUCAAGAUUGCAAUAUAACCAUACCUCCUUUUUUUAAUAGAACAUAAUGAUACCUCUUUAAUGGAGCAGAAAAGAACACAGUCGAGGUAUAAAAGCUUUCAAUAAAUUACCGGUUAGUACAAGGCUCAUCGUUGUACUUACAAUCCAAUGACGGGCAGCUGGAAAGUUACAAUCACGCAUCGCUUGCAAUUCAGAUUUUAGUAACGUUUCUUCAGUGUAGAAUGCAUUGUUAUGUACAUUGUCGUUCCCGGGUUCUUCGACUUUGACAUCAACCUCAACAACCUGAAAAACCAUACAUUUUAAAAGAAAUUUGUAAGUGAACAUCCAUGAAAUAUACAGUGAUCUUGGUUGGAAAAGUCUCAUUUCAUUCUCUUAGGUAUAGCUUUGUGUCACAAGACUAUGGAACAAUGUUAGGCCCGGUAUCAUUCCCUAGAUUAUUAUUUGAGACAGCGACAGGAGCAUACAUAUAAGAAGUUGUUUGCUAUUACUGUGGAACUACAAGGGAAGAAAUUGUUGCUACCUCUUGUAUUUCAUCAUGCAAAUAUCUUAAGAUUAAAGUUGACUGCAUAUACCUGAUUGUAUGCUUCCCCAGGCUUGCAAUCAACAGCCAUAUCCAUACGAGCUAUAAAGAAAUGUUGAUGAACAGGUGCAUACAGUCCUGGUGCAAUUGUUGUACCAUAUUUUCGAGACUCUCCAGGCUGCAAUGCUCCUAAGCUGAGGAUGCCAGUAAGUUUCACUUCAGCCUCAAUUUUUCCAUCCUACAGUAAAGAAUUUAAGUAGGGAUUAUAAUCAAGUGUAAGAGACUGUGAACAGCCAGCUACUUGAUCAUGUGAACAAAAAAGACCUACACAUAAUUAAAUCUAUGAGGAAGUUUUUUAACUAAUGAGCAUCAACUUGCCUGAUAGAAGUGCCAGUAAAAACCAUAUUCGUAAUUAGCCACAGUACAUAUAAAAGAAACUGUGAGUCGCCUAGAUCUUCGCACUUCUGCUAAGCCUGUUCUCCAAUCCUGGUGCUUCCAGAGAAUCCCAUGAUCCUCUUCAUGAAGACAUACACAAUUUUCUAUUGUUUCAACGCCCCCGGUGAAAUUUGUAAAAUGUGCAUCGAAGUACUUAAUAUAGCCCAGACAAUCACAUCCCUGCCAAAGAAUUUGUAUGACACCAGCAGGUCAUGAAUUAGUAAGGGAACACUAUAACGUUUCCAUCUGAUGUAUGCAGAGAGUGACAAACCUUCUUAAGAGAGUGAGCAUUCUUUCCAAGGCCAUCUUCCCCAGCAUCAAAUGCAUUUUUCCUGUAAUGGGGGUCAUUUGGAUCUCCAUAGGGGACAACCAUCUCAACAAAACUUAAUCUAUGAGCUAUGGGUCUUCGGCCUCUACUACCAUCAACGUAUGCAAUAGAGUGUAUAACCAGGCCUUCCCUUGGAGUGAAACCAAUUCGGAAAUUCCACUGCCAAGUUAUAACUGUUAAAUAUGCUGUCCUUCAUGCAAGGAUAAUGCUGGAAAAGCUUAUUGAUGAUAGACAGAUAAUACCUUUUGCCAUUCUACAUAGUGUCCACUAACUCGAAAGCUUGGACCCUCAGGCUGAACAAUCUGUAAUGGCUUUACAUCACUUCGAUCAACCCCUCCCCUUGUUUCACCAGGAGUAUAGUUUCUUAAUGGAUCAGCUGGAGGUAAUGGGACAAGUUUACGAUCUUCAAAUUCUAUCACAACCAUGUUCUGCAUAUCAACAAGUAGAUAUAUGCCUUCAACUGGGCGUGCAUAACCAUUUUCCAUUGGACAAUCGCUUUCUGUUCUACAGAAAAUAAGCGGCUUAGCGAGUCUACGGUUAGGAGCAUCAGUGUCACUAUAGUAACCAACACACCUGUUGAGAUUUUAAGUACUCAGUCAAGCACAAAAUAUAUAAGAUAACACUUGAGGGCAUCAAGUACUAAUGUAGAAAUUAUACUAACCAAGCAUCCACCAUCACAAGAUCCAUAUCCUCAAUACCACGCUUCUUCAUAGCUUCACGGAAAGGAGGAUACUCUUUUACAACUGCUUCACACUCAGCAUAUUCCAUGGCAUCCUACAACAGUCGAAAAAGAGGCGUGCAAGUGUUAUUAAAUAGUUCAGCGGCCUAUACUGCAAAAAAGAAAACACAUAUGUUUCCAGAAGAAAGAAUCCAAAUCUAUUAUGCUCACUUCAGUCCUUGUUUUCAAUAAUGGCAUCUUUGAGCCCAUUGUGUUUUCCAUUUUCUUUUUUACAUCUUGUUAUCAUUUGGGUCAGGUUAAACUCCGAUAAGAUGAAGGUUGGAUACAAAAGUAGAGUACAAAUUUCUUGUUAGGCAUGUAAUGCUGAUUGCUCUAUUUACAAUUUUACAUGCCCCACCCAGAUUACAAAAUCAAGCAAGUUUGCUUGUAGGAUUGGCCUAUGCAGAACUACACCUAGCACUGCAUACUUUUGUUAUGCAGUGGUGCAAACGAAUCAGAACAGUGAUAUAUCAAAGACUUGAGACUUUCACCAGAUACACCCAAACAAAUUAAGGUGCAUCUACUAAACUUAACAGCAUUAUAUUACCAAUGAUCAAUUUUUGUUUGAUGUACUUAAUUGCACUAGUACAAUUACUGAGCAAUCAUAAAUUUAUUAUAUAAUCUCAAUAUAUUUUUAUUCCUAUCAGAAACAGUAUUUAUUAAAGAGAAAUUUCGGGUGUUUGAAUUAGAAUAGGUUGUUUAUAAUACUAUUAAAGAAGAAUGCUAUAUAGACAAGCACUUGAUAAGAAAUUACCAUUGGUGGCUGUACAUCAGGAACAACUUGUGAGGAAAUCACUUUCCCCCUGUGAUGUCCACCUCUAGUUGCUGCAUGUACUUCUGACAGUUCUACUAUCCAUAUGCUUGUUUCAUUUGACUUCUUGUUGUAAACCACAAGUCUGGCUCGCCUUGGAGGUAGUUUACUAGGAAUUACAGCUCCACCUUUAGUUCUCGGCAGCAAUGAGGGUUGAAAGGGAGGGAAGAAGUACGCAUCUGCCAAUGCAACAAUAUUUUUACUUGGUUCUGACAGAACAACCUCAACAAACCGCAUGCCAUCUCUGACCUGAAGCAGAUAAAUAAGAGUUAUAGUCGCUGGAAUUUUACCAGUAAGGUGUUUUACUCCCAACAUAUACCAACAAUGCAUAUAUAAGAGCUCCUAAAGUAAUGAGACUAUGACACCUCAGGAGUAGCUCCAGCUGCUCUGACAGUUGCUACGGCCACUGAGAUCUCAGCUGAAGAUAAAGGGUCUAAAGGAUGGCUACUUUGAGCCCUUAGCAUUAUCUGGAUUCCUAUACAAGCAAGAAAUGGAUUUAGCAAUUCAGUAGAAAUAGUUUGCCUAUAAUUACUCGCAUAGACUACUCCCUCAAAAACUUCAAGAAGAAUUUUGACUUAAGAACUUCGAAACAAUUUAAAAUAAAGCAUUUAAAUAUUUCGGAAUAAAUAUCUAAAAUGCAUCAAAACUAGCUAAAUAUUCACUUAUAUUGUCUUAAUUACAUAUGCUGAGGGAGUACAUCUUCUACAGAGAAUAUCCUUCUUAACACACCAGGCACUCUAGAAUCCUCCUAAUAAAAGACAAAAUAACAGCCACUAAGAAAUGACAAUAAAUUUGUAAGGAAAGAACAAGGACAACUUAUGUAAAACAGAAUAAACCUAGAAAUCAGAAUCGUAUGCAUACAUGUGCACAGGAAAUACUGGAGAUACUAUAAGUAGAAGAUGCGUGGACUGGAAUGCUAGCAGUUUAUAAUUUUGUACCUUGGUCGACAAUCAAUUUAUCUAAGGAAUACAUAAACUGAAUCAGAACCUCCCUUUCUGUUUCUUAGCAUAAAAUCUUGAAUUAGUCCAAUAAUAAGGAGUGUCAUAUAUAGUCUUUUGCUGCAUAAUGUCAAAAUAUAUCAAACUCCAGCCUGCAAGGAUUACUGUGAAUUAUCUGAUGUGUUCUACUUUCUCCUACUGUUUGCUUCUCUGUAGUUAUGUAAUAUGAGGUGUGACAUGGAAUUUCUUCUUCUUUUUUUAUUAUAUACGAUAGAAAUUCUAAUCUCAGAUAAUGAUAUGGAAUUCUCCACAUGCAUUGCAGUAUAAGUGUCAAAAGAAAAAUGUUCAGUAAUGGAUUUAGAAAGGUAUUAGCUUAAAUGCCAAAUGCUAACUAUGUAUUUGUUUAAUGUUCUUAAUAAAAUUUUCGAUAUUUGCACAAUCUGUUUUCUGUUGUAGAUAGGUUGGUUGUGCAUAACCUUACAGAAAAAAAACCAGUAGCCGAUAUAUCAAAAAACUAUUCAAUUCUAGUUGUUUUAACUUCGUUUAGCAAUGACAGAACAACCUACACAUAGUAAAAACCGAAGUGUUUAUUGAGACCUCUGCAAGUACUUAAUUGCAAUACAUUUGAUCAAUAUACAAUAAAUUAAUUUCUUUGUUUUGAAACUUAUAGUUAAAUCCUGGAAUGUUACCAAGAUUGAUAGAUGUAAAAUUAGUGCAGACACAUUUCUGAGAACCAGAUAAAUACUUACAAAUUAACAAUCAAUUACAACAAAAAUUAAGAAUUAAGAAAUGAACUAAUUCAUAUAUACAGUUUGAUCACUAAAACCUAAUUCAGUUGUUCAAGAUCCUAAAUCUCAGACACUUUUUCAGCAGCAUAUAUAGACAUUUUGAUUUUGGUAUAAAAAGCAAUGGCAUACAUGUAUACAUGAUUUACUCCACAAGUUGAGUGAUGGCAUAAAGGUAGCAAUAGUAAUCAUCUUAUCCUCGUUCGAUCAAAAUCUAUUCACAUGUUUGAAAUACAUACACAUUUGAGUAUAUCAGAAAACAGUGACAUACAAAGUCAAUUCUUAAUUUCUACUCUACUCCAUCCACUUCAUUACUUACAACUAAAACUCUAGAGUGAAUGUAUUAAAAAAUUAUUUAAAGCAAAUAAUCUACAUCCAACUAGCAAUUAUACAUGAACUAAAAUCGACAUGCUUAUAUUAGUACCUCUAUUAAUAUCAAGCAUCACAAUGCAUUUAAACUUUCACUUGAACUUCGAGUAUAUUUCAGUACGUCACUAAGAAUAAAAUCCUGGCAGUUUUCAAAGAAUGAAACAUCGAGACUAGUGCAGAUACAUUUCUUCGUCAAACAAACGCCAAUUAACGAUCAAUUAUAUAAACAUAAUUCACAUAGAGACAGACUCAUCUAUACCUAAUUUAAUCGUUCAUGAUCCAAAAUCUCGGUCAUAUUUCAGUAUAAGUAACAGUAACAUACUUGUGCAUACAUACAUUCAGAGCGAGCGAGAGAGGGAGAGAGAGAGAGAGAGAGAGAGAGAGAGAGAGAGAGAGAGAGAGAGAGNNNNNNNNNNNNNNNNNNNNNNNNNNNNNNNNNNNNNNNNNNNNNNNNNNNNNNNNNNNNNNNNNNNNNNNNNNNNNNNNNNNNNNNNNNNNNNNNNNNNNNNNNNNNNNNNNNNNNNNNNNNNNNNNNNNNNNNNNNNNNNNNNNNNNNNNNNNNNNNNNNNNNNNNNNNNNNNNNNNNNNNNNNNNNNNNNNNNNNNNNNNNNNNNNNNNNNNNNNNNNNNNNNNNNNNNNNNNNNNNNNNNNNNNNNNNNNNNNNNNNNNNNNNNNNNNNNNNNNNNNNNNNNNNNNNNNNNNNNNNNNNNNNNNNNNNNNNNNNNNNNNNNNNNNNNNNNNNNNNNNNNNNNNNNNNNNNNNNNNNNNNNNNNNNNNNNNNNNNNNNNNNNNNNNNNNNNNNNNNNNNNNNNNNNNNNNNNNNNNNNNNNNNNNNNNNNNNNNNNNNNNNNNNNNNNNNNNNNNNNNNNNNNNNNNNNNNNNNNNNNNNNNNNNNNNNNNNNNNNNNNNNNNNNNNNNNNNNNNNNNNNNNNNNNNNNNNNNNNNNNNNNNNNNNNNNNNNNNNNNNNNNNNNNNNNNNNNNNNNNNNNNNNNNNNNNNNNNNNNNNNNNNNNNNNNNNNNNNNNNNNNNNNNNNNNNNNNNNNNNNNNNNNNNNNNNNNNNNNNNNNNNNNNNNNNNNNNNNNNNNNNNNNNNNNNNNNNNNNNNNNNNNNNNNNNNNNNNNNNNNNNNNNNNNNNNNNNNNNNNNNNNNNNNNNNNNNNNNNNNNNNNNNNNNNNNNNNNNNNNNNNNNNNNNNNNNNNNNNNNNNNNNNNNNNNNNNNNNNNNNNNNNNNNNNNNNNNNNNNNNNNNNNNNNNNNNNNNNNNNNNNNNNNNNNNNNNNNNNNNNNNNNNNNNNNNNNNNNNNNNNNNNNNNNNNNNNNNNNNNNNNNNNNNNNNNNNNNNNNNNNNNNNNNNNNNNNNNNNNNNNNNNNNNNNNNNNNNNNNNNNNNNNNNNNNNNNNNNNNNNNNNNNNNNNNNNNNNNNNNNNNNNNNNNNNNNNNNNNNNNNNNNNNNNNNNNNNNNNNNNNNNNNNNNNNNNNNNNNNNNNNNNNNNNNNNNNNNNNNNNNNNNNNNNNNNNNNNNNNNNNNNNNNNNNNNNNNNNNNNNNNNNNNNNNNNNNNNNNNNNNNNNNNNNNNNNNNNNNNNNNNNNNNNNNNNNNNNNNNNNNNNNNNNNNNNNNNNNNNNNNNNNNNNNNNNNNNNNNNNNNNNNNNNNNNNNNNNNNNNNNNNNNNNNNNNNNNNNNNNNNNNNNNNNNNNNNNNNNNNNNNNNNNNNNNNNNNNNNNNNNNNNNNNNNNNNNNNNNNNNNNNNNNNNNNNNNNNNNNNNNNNNNNNNNNNNNNNNNNNNNNNNNNNNNNNNNNNNNNNNNNNNNNNNNNNNNNNNNNNNNNNNNNNNNNNNNNNNNNNNNNNNNNNNNNNNNNNNNNNNNNNNNNNNNNNNNNNNNNNNNNNNNNNNNNNNNNNNNNNNNNNNNNNNNNNNNNNCGGGAGAGAGAGAGAGAGAGAGAGAGAGAGAGAGAGAGAGAGAGAGACCUUUAGUAGAAGCAGUAGAACUAGCGGAAGAAUCAGGACGAAUCAAGGAAGCAAUGGCGGAAGCUUUGAUCGGGCGAUCAUCGGAGGACGAAACAAUCCACUCCGGCGCAACUUCAGCGCGGCGAGAAACGACGGGAGAGUCAUCGGAACUUGAAAACGACGGCGUUUUCUUAAUUGAGGCCAUUGUAAGGGGUUCGCAAGCUCACCAAAUCCACCGUAGUAAUGCCUGGAACAACUUGCUGACAUACAGCAGUUAUAUUUAUGUAUAGCUCACCACUCUCUCUCACUCUCUCUCUCUGCACUGCUAUUCUUUCCGUGUAUAAAAGUAAAAAGAGGCUUCUGGGAGGUUAUAGAAAGAGAAAUGCAUAUAGUGCGUGACUGUGUGUAUAUAUAGAAAGAGAUGCAGAGAGGCAACUUGAGGGGGAAAGGAAAGGAAAUGGAGUUGUAACUCUUACCACGUGAUGCUCUGUUAAUUUCUCUACAGUAACUUUCUUUUACUGUUUGGUGAUGGACCAAUGGAAAGGGAAAACGAGAAUUAUUUUAUCUUAUUUUUUGUUAUGGUUUAUAUACAUGUGGAUGAAUUUUAUAUAAUCUUAGUUGAAUAUUAUCGGAAUUUUAAGCAUGAUUUAAAAUUUUUGAUUGAAUAUCACCCGAUUUUAUGGGAUAAUUUAAUAUUUUAAUUGAAUACUCCAAUAUCCUAAUAUAUAUUUUAUAAAUUACGAAUAGGAUACAUCCGAAUUUCAUAAAUGAAAAAAAUAAAUUAAAAUCUCAAUUAAAUGCGCUGGAGUGAGCGAGAUAAUUUGAGUAUAUAAAAAUGCUCAUGCUUGAUGAAUUUUGAAGCGAUGGCGACGAUGAUAGCUGCGUCAACUUAUUUCAUUCAAACAGAAGUUAGGAAAAAAUUUCAUAUUUAUGUAUUGAUUUAGGGUAUUUAGGAUAUGUUUCAAUUUUACUAUAUCGGACAAAAAAUAUUACUAAUACUUCAAAUGAAACAUUUAGUUACUAUUUUUUAAACGCUUUCUUUGGUUGUUUUUUGUGUUUGUCCAUGUUAAAUGCGAAAUUUUAUAAAUUUGACUCAUUUUUAUUAGUUUACUAUCUUAAUAAUGGUGGACCUCAUAUACAAUCAUCAUAUCAAUCAAAAUCUUCCAACUUUAUAAAAUUAAGCGCUUAACAUUUGAAGCUUAGCGUGCGAAGCUGGGAACACACAGACAAAACUUUUUCUAAAUUGACAAGUUAUAAAAGUCAUUUAACGCAACUUCGAGUACCAAAACAAGUGAUAUGUUACCGAUGUUUGAUAUACUUACGCUUGUUUAUCAUCUGAAGGAGGAAAAAAGGACUUGUGGGUACGAUGAUGGAGAACUAAAAUUUGAUAACUUUUCGGAUGGCCAAUCGGAAUCGGAUAAGUUGAGUGAAGUGAAAGCUGAUAUGCGCAUCUGCUUUUUGUAAUAGAACAACAGCAUUAAGGUGUAGUAUUUGAUAAGACCAGAAUCAUAAGUUAUUCUACUACUAAUUUAUAAUACUCCCUCCGUCUCUUUAUUCUUUUCUCGUUUCAUAUGUCGGGACUGUUCAUAACAUGAGAUAAAUUACUAAUUUACGUCUAAUCUAUAAGACUAAAUAUAGUCGUGAGUGAUCUUGUUGGAUUCGUAUUCACGAGUACUUUAAUACAAUGAAGUUUUUAUAUUUAAUACCAAUACGAAAUUAAAGAUAUUAAUGAUCAAAAUUGUGUAUUGGCAAACGCGCUGAAGAGAAACAGGAAAAGUAAUAAGAGACGGAGGGAGUAUAAAAUAUCUGAAUAUUUUACUGUUAUUUCAUGCGAGGCAAUGAGUCAUGGGUUCUUGAACUACAUGAUCAAUCUCUAUCCACAGGCUUUAACAACCAAGAAAAUCACAUUGUUGUGUUUGUAUUAUAUGUAGAGCUGGGUCCUUAAUCAUGAUUAAUGCCUAACCAUAUUUUAUACCUACUAGCUGUUGAAUAAUGCACGGCCCUGGUACCGGUUUGAGCAAGUUUAAAAUUAUAAAUUACUCUAUGAUUUAUAGCAAUUUAAUAUAAUAAAUAUUAAUUUAAAUUAUUUAUUUGAAUACUUUUAUAUUAUACACUUAUAAGUUAUAAUAAUUAUAAUAAUAAAGUUGUAACUUAAAUUAUUUAUUUUAGUGUUUAAAUUGAUUUUUAUUAAAAAAAUCACACAAAAAUAAGUUGAUUAGAAAAACACAUCUCCCAAUUUUUGAUUUUAAGUAAGUAUGUGACUGACUUACAAAAAAGUAUGUGACUUAUUUACAACUUGAUUCCUGACUCACUAAACAAACAUACGUUUUUUUAGUACAAAAUCGAAAAUGACUUAAAAUUCGAUUAUAUAUCUCGUGGAAAACAAGUUCUUCUAGGUGCGAAAUCGAGAAAGUUAAUCGAGGCUGAAAUCAUAUUCAAUUAAGAAAAUUAAAAAAAUAUACUUUGAGUAUCCGUCCAAUUUUUUCAUAUAAAUUUUAGCUAGUUUAAACUAAUCAACAAAAAUUUAAUCAUUUUAAAUUUUAAUGUUGAAGUAUUUAAAUUUCUGAUUCCUCAUUUAGAUCUGGAAUUUUACAUAAUAAUGAAAUGAAAUUUUAUACUUUACAAACAGUAUUAUUUAAAGUGUGCUAGUAUUAUUAUAUACAGCCACUUGCGAAGGACAAGUAGCUGUACUUAUAAUUGACGUACCAAUUGUUCGACUGUUCUGUAUAGUGCAGGGUCCCAUUUCCAUCUGCAUAUGGCUGGAUCGAUCUUCGUGUAUAAUUCGAGUUUUAUAUUCAGCAAACAUGGGGCGUCUACGCUCACAAUAUAAAGAUGUUUUCUUCGCCGUUCUAUGUUCAGCAGUCAGCACCACGUAAUGUUAAUACGGCACGUUUUAUUGUCUAUUUUGUACUCCCUCUGUCCCUCUCAUUUUUUUUACAGUUAUUAUUUUGGGAUGUCCCUCUCAUUUCUUUACGUUACUAUAAAUAGUAAGUUUUUCUCAUCAUUACACCCACUAUCUUCCCCCACUAUCUCAUAUUUAACAAUAAAAAUUAUUAUUACACCCACUACUUUCCACCACUAUCUCAAAUCUAUUACUAUUAAAUAUUGAUGGGUCCCACCACUUUACCCACUUUUCAUCUAACUUUACUCAUUUUUCAUACAUUGUCUUGGUCUCCGUGUCCCCCUCCAAUGUAAACAAUUGAGGCCCUCCUCAAUUGAUAUGAAAUUAAAAUACAAACUUUAGUCUAAUAAAAUGCAUAAACUUGAAUCGAAAUCGAAGUCGUGGAUCACUGAAUUGAUAUGACUUGUAGAGUUGUAGUUGGUAUUGACAAGAUAAGUAACUAAACAACAAACCAACAAGUAUAAAUUAAAAAAUUAAUAUAUUUAUAUAAAAUUAAUAUUAUAUAUAUAUAUAUAAUAUUAAAUAUUUAUAUUGUAUAUAUAUAAAUAUGCGGUUCGGUUUUAUAACGGGUUGGUUUAAUAUAAAACCGAAACCAACCCACAAACCACAGUUUUUUAAAUUAGUCGAACCGAAACCGUAAACCUCAUUUCGGUUUCGGUUUGGAUCGGAUUAACAUCGGAUUGGUUUAUGCGGAUUUUGCGGUUUAAACCGGACCGUGAUCACCCCUAAUUGAGGGGGACGGAGGGAGUAUUGGAAAUGGAAUCACACGAAAAUCACCCAAAUAUACACUUUUGUGCAAACCGGUCGCAAAAGUUUAAAAAAUUACUCAGUGCUUCUUCGGUAGUAAUCCCAUCGCCCAACCAAUUAUAUAUAUUGGGUCGAGAAUAAUUUCAAAAUAUAAUUUAUAUACACUUGUUAAAUAAGGAAAGAGUUGGAUGCGAUAAAAAAAAAAGAGUAUAUUGCAUUUUGUAAUUCUAAACUUUGACUUAACAAAUCAGACCCCACAUUUUGAAACGUGAUAGUUUGUAACCCUAAAUUUCAUUUAGCUUUCAGUUAGUAAUCCUGACCGGCUGACCCACACAUCUGUUAAAAACAGUCGUUAAUAGGAUUGAGCAUUCGGUCGGUUUGGUCCAGAAUCGGACCGAACCCAAAAAACUGAGAACCGAAUUAGCAUUUUUUUCCGGACCGUACCGGACCGAAGUUAUGUUAUGGAUCGAACCGAAAUAAUUCGGUUUGGUUCGAUUCUUCCUCAAAGAACCGACUUUUUCUACAAAUAAAAUGAAACAGAAAGUCUUACAAAUUUAAACAUCCAGACUAUCCAGUUCAAACACCAAACAAACUGAAGGCUAUGAUUGAUUGUAGUUUAGAAACAAAAGUUUAAAAUAAACAAAGAUUAAUGCUGGUUUGUUGAUGUGCAGGGCUGCAGGCGCAACAACAAGUUAAGAUUGAGGGGAGAAGAUUUAUUAAUGAACCUUGGAUAUUUGAUUUCUUAAACUCGAAUCUUUGAUUCUGAAAGUAGAGAAUAGAAAGUGAAUCUCCGAUUCUUGAAGUGAAUUAGAGAUGUGUGAUGCUUAGAUUUGUGAUUAGGGAUUAGUUGCGAAUCUAUGAUACUAGGGUUUAUGUGCGAGUAGUGACUAGUGCGGUUGAAUGCUCUGAAGUCUGAACUGAACCACGGGAGACAAUACGCAUGCAAGUAUUAACAUAUAUUACAUAUAUUUAUUAUAUUAAUAAAAAAGUUUGGUCUAUUCGGUUAAGAAUCGAAUUUUUUUGGAAAGAACCGGACCGAACAGAAAUUUAAUUCGGUCCGGACCGAAGAACCGAACAGACCGAAAUUUCAAAAAAACUGGAACCGGAACGGCUGGAAUUUAUACGGUUCGGUUUUUCGGUUUCCGUUCGGUUCUGCUCACCCCUAGCCAUUAAUUUUAACUGUGUUAAGAGGUAACCGUAUGUAUAUUAAUUUCUAAAAGCCCCUUUGCCCCCUCAAAGUUUAUGUAUUGUAUUUUGAAAUUAUUUCCGAACACACAAAACGAUGUAAAAAAAAUAAAAUAAUUUUUAAAACAUGUAUUUAGAUUUAGAAUCUGAAUUUUUUUUUAUAUAAACAAUGUAACUUAUUUUAAAAUUUUAAAAUAAAUACAUAUUUCAAAAAUCAUUUUAAUUUUUUUACAUCGUUGUAUGUGUUCUGAACUAAUUUCAAAACAUAAUACUACAUAAAUUUUGAGGGGUCACACGGGGUAAAGUAGCUGUUAAAAAUUAAUAUACACACUGUUACUUAUCAAACAGUCAAAAAUAACCGUUGUUUUUAAUGGAUGUAUGGGCUAGGGUUACAAACUAAAAAUUAAAUAAAAUUUAGGAUUAUAAACUAUCACGAUUCAAAAUGUGGGAAUCGAUUUGCUCAUAAGUCAAAGUCUGAAGUUACAAAAUACUACAAUAUACUCGAUAAAGGAAUUGUAAUUACAAGGCACUCUCAAAAGUGCAGCAGCCGAGUUGGCCUGUUAAUCGUUACGGGCUGGUACUUCUACUGUUCUACAGGCCCAUAUCCUUUCACGGGGUACUGUCAAUUCGCAUCUCUUUAAUUAUCUGUUUAGAAAUUCUCCAUAGCAUGCUAACGAAAACACAUGGACCUAACUGCUGCUGAUGUGUGUAUUAUAGUAUCAAUUAUCAAGCUACUUUUGCAUUGCUAAUAGGGUUUGUAAAUUUUAUGCUGCAUAGGGUUGUAUAUACCGAACCUGACUCGAAACCGUAAUCCUUAUGAAAUUUGAAAUUCGAAAGUGAUCAGAAAAUUACUUGAAAAUUGACAGAUUAAUCCGAAAUUAGAAUUUUGUUUCUAAAAAUUUAGAUCAUCAAUUUAUUCAAUAUUAAGUGAUUUUAACUUCACUCAAAGUAGACCCACGCCGACACGAACACGACAUGUUGUCACUUCUGAUGAUGCAUGAAUUUUGUUAUAUUUACUUUACAAACACACACUAGACAUUACUCUAUGUAAUUUGCCCUAAUUUUAUGCCGUAUGUGUAUUUUUGUGAUUGAUUGUAUAUGUGGAGAACACCGUUUAUCUUCUUCUUGCAGGGAAAGUGUGAUGAUGAGUCAAAAGAGGUUUCGAAGAAUUUCAAUCAUGAGGAAUUGUGAGUUUUAUUUCAGUGUUAUUAUCUAUGUAAUAUUGUUAUGAUUAAUUUUUUUGCGGUAAGAACUUCGAGACUUUCAAUUCUGAAAUGGCCAAAAGCGUUGGAUGUGAUCUCGUACUUCUCGAUUUUAUUGUGUUUAUUGCAUAAAUAUAUUUUUGUUGAAUUACAUAUCGGUUUUUCUAACGUGUUUACGGGUACACACUAAUAAUCAAUUUUUGGUUGAUUGCAAAUUUAUAUAGGUUCCAGUUUCAUUAAUCAUACACAAAAAACUGCACCAAUCAAAAUCUUCUCAUUACACAUUUAUAGAGCAUCCCCUUGCUCUUCAGUUCUCUCCCUUAAAACAUAGUGAUGAGGUAAAUGUUGCUUGGACUGUUUCGAAAAUUGAUGAUCUGAACUGCAUUGCAGGUACAAUGGGUGGUCUUUACGAAGCCACAUAUAGAGGAGUUGUGAGAGUGACUGUUGUUGAUUUCGAUCAACAGACUAAGAUUCAGGGAAAUGGCCGUUUUGUCAUAUGCAAAAAGAAACGAGUUUCUGUACUCUUGAAAUGUGCCCACAUCUUAGGUGAUUCCGAGUUUCUUCUGAUUUCAAAACUUUCAAGGCUGAGGUAUGGCAUAUUAAUAAAGGCAUGGAUUUAUGUGUGUUGAUAGUCAAAGAUUAUUUGGGUUCGAAUGUCGUGCAUUUGAAGACAUGGUGUGAUAAAAUUAACUUCAUGGAGGAUGUAUAUAGCAUAUCAUGUCCACGGUAUAAAAUGAAUGUUGAAAAAUCCGUUCUUAGUAGGAAUUCAUCCUAGGAACUUAGAUGGGAUAUUCCUUCAAAUCAAAUGCAUGGAAACAAUUGGGGGAGAGUUCUUCCGGUGCUCCAAUUUUGAGCAUGAAAGGGAACACAAUUGGAAUGUACGUUGUGUCAACUUCUGACUCUGAUUCUUUGAAUGUUAAGCAUUGGGCUUUACGAUUGAAUUUGGUUAGGGACUGUCUGGAGAAGAUUUUUGAGGUGCCAGCGGUAAAGUAAAUUAUUAAGAAACAAUAAAUUUAUUUAAGCAUUCCCUUUUGUUUGUUUUUUUCCCCCUCUAAAACAAGUUUUACAGAACUGGAAGGGAAGGCAUAGCUUGAAAGUUGGAAAACAUGUUAUGGAGUUGCUUGAAAGACAUAAAAGCUAAGAGAAGGGCAAGAAUUAGGGGGAAGGUAAGCAACAAGAAACUAUCUCAUAUUAUUUUUAGGCUGCUGAUGUGAAUUUCAGAGUAUCGCCCAUAGGAUGGUUAAGAAUAGACAUGCAAGCAUCGACUGAGAACAAUCUAUGAUGGUUUGUUUUGAGUUAAUAAGCAUUGUGGAUUUGUGGCUUCAGUGCAGAGCUACGCCUCGUAUUUUGUAUAAUGCUGUUGUGAAUUACAGGAAUCCAUACUCCAGAGGAGCUCUGCAGAGCAGCAAAGUGGUUCUGCUACUGGGGAAGAUUCUUUAAACCAGCCAGUCAAGAAAGUGAGGGGUCUGGUAUGUGUUUCUUCCACUUUUCUCUUGGUAUAUAAUUUUUCUCUUGGUUAAGAAAGUAUAAUUUAGUCAAUUUAAGAUUAUUAUAAGUGUAAGAUCUAUGUCAGCUCUGUUGAAUUUGCAGACUCGGGUUUUCAGCAGCUGGUCAGUUUAAUUUAUCAAUCACAAGACUUUGUGCUAAAAUAUUUAGUGUAUUUUGUUCACUUAUAGAAUGAAGUGGAAGAAUAGUAUUAGAAUAGUUAUAUAUGAAAACAUGUUAUAUAUUUAAAGUAAUGUAAUAUGUGAAUAUGUUAUCUGUUCAAAACAGAAUUUUUGAAUAUAUUUUAUUAUUUUUGGUCAAUAAUCCUUUAAUUGUGUAAUUAUUGCCAUUAUAUUCUUCUCUUCUGAACAGUUUGAAUUUCCUGCCUCUCUGUUUUCAUCAAAUCAUUUUAAAAUAAAUACUUUCAUCUUAUAUUUUUCGUACAUCUAAUCAUCAUGGAUCAAAAUUAUUUAUUUAAAAUCUAUUCAUCUUAUAUUCUCUACUACAGUUUAUCAUAACAUAUCAUAAUCAUUUCUUUAAAAUCAUUUGGUCUUAUUUUUUUUCGUAUAUUAUUCUUCAUGAAAGAGUUGUAUUCGAUUAAAAUUUUAAUAGAUUUUAACUGAAUAUAAAAUAACAAAAAAAAAAGAUUUAACAUCGACAUAAGACACAUAAGAAAAGAUAUUGUCGUGGAUAAACAUAUACUUACCUCCCUUACUCAUUUUUAUAUAGUUUUUUUUUGCAUUGCUCGACUUCGAUAAACUACAGUUCUAUUACUUAAUUUUUUUAAAAUUUCUCUUGGCUGAACUUUCUUGUACUCUUCAAUCAGAAUCUCUAUCCAUGCAUUCUUUGGUGUAAUAUUACUAAGCACUAUCUAAUUGCUUAUCAAUAACAGAAAAUGAUAGAAAAUGAUGAAGGAUAGUUGUGAUGAUAGAUACAUAACCAGAGAGCAACAGAUCAUCCACCAUAUGUGUUGAUCAAGACAGGCACUACCAUAAGCAUAUCUUGAUGAGGAUCUCAAGUGACUAUACUAUCCAGAAUAGAGACCGAGACUUGACACAACUAAUUUGGUGUUCAAAUUUUGUCUAAAUCUCGAAUAGAGCAUCAAGACCUACAAAGCAGUCUAGACUCUAGAGACCCUUUAGCUCUUGAUCCUAAUAGGAAAACAUAUACUUGGUCUAAUUUGCACUCGAUUUUUGUCUGCCAUCUUGGUGAUAUAAUCUAUAAGGCGAACAAAGGCAUGACUUUCGAUGAAAGAUUAUGUUUUAUUGGUUUGUUUUUUAAUAGCUAGAUUUGCGUAAAAAAUCAAGAUAUCUUGGCACAUUACAGUUCAGACCACAAUUUCUUUAGUGAAGACACUGCAGUACUGCACUGCUGUGGCACAUUACAGUUCAGAUUCAGAAGCCCAUUUUACGAAAUGAUUCACUUGAUAAUCUAUUGAUUCUCAGGACCACCUGUCCACUUUGAUGAAAUAAGUGUACCUUGAUCAUUUGUUUCAGUCAGUUGCUAAAUUGCUAUGCAUCAUUAUAGAUCACUAACUUCAGUCAGUUAUUUCAUUUUACAAGAUAUGUUUUCAGUGCAAGUGUGCAGCUCCCACUUAAUUUCACCCCAGAGUCAAGUGGAGUAGCAUCAAACAUGAAAAUGUCGAUAUUGGCCCGGAUUUUCAAGAAAAAAGGAGCCAUAUCCAACUUUUCCAAGAGGUUUGCAGUGCUGAGAUGCUCCAGUCUUCCCACCAAAAAACAAUACUUAAGCGUAGGAUGGACCGGGAAUCCAUUACUCUAUCGUGGAGACGUGGACCAAUUAUAAGAGGUAUAUGAUGAUUAAGUAGAAAGCUAAAUCUUAUAAUUAUAUCCAUUAAGUAACAGCUGAUAGUUUGACACUAUCUAACAGUAACAGAAUUAGCAUCAUGUAUGCAUCAUCUUUUAAAAUAAUUUGCUUAAAAGUAUUAGUCACAGUGAAAGCUGAGUUUUGACUUUUGAUGUCAUAUUCCACAAUCUUUAUUCUCACUGGAACCACCUUUUUAACUUUAAUGUGGGAGUACAAUGUAUAUUGUUGGAAAUUGCUUAUAAAUGUGAAUGAAAGCAACUAAUAAAUGUUACAGAUAUCUUUUGUCAAUCUCUAUCUCUAUAUAAAGAAUAAUUGCACAUUGUGUAAAACUAAAAGCUUCCUUCUUAGCAUCUAACAUAAGCAAGCAUGGCUAAAGCCUCUAUUCUGAUUCUUAAAGUAGUGAUGAUUUUGAUAUCAAUGGGAUGGAUAUCUGUUUGGCUUCUUAAGCCAACACAGCUCUGGACAAGGAAAUGGAAAGCAGCUGAAAAGUGUGCGUCAACAACAGUUUUCGGAUAUAAUGGUACUAUCUUAGUUUUAAUCAAAGUUUUCAUGAAGGUCUCGAGCAGACUUAAAAUUUCUUUCUCUAGAUUAUACAUGGCUUAAUCAAGUAUCAGUAAUUUUAACUUAGGUUGAAGUUAGUACUGCAUUAAAAACAAAUGAUUGCUCUCUAAUGGCAAUAUUUAAUUAUUAAUCUCAUAGUAGCUACUUUUCAGGUCUUGAUUUUGCUGUCUACACAUUCCCUCUUAUCCUUGUGGCUAUAUUGGGACUCGUUUAUAUAAAACUGAAACCAGAUGAAGCAAGAAACAGGUACAAUAUUAUUUCUUUUGUUAUUAAAAGGUAGUCAGCUUAGGCACUGUACUAAUAUUUCUGUUGGAAUGACAGGCGGGGGAAAAGUUCAACCUCAGCGCUUUCAAAUCCGCUUAUUGUUAACAGUUAUGUAGGUGUUUUAACUGGCAUAGAAAUCCUAGCCAUUCUCCUGUUUUUCCUCUUUCUGGCAUGGACUUUCUAUGCUCAUAUCUCUACUGAUUUUAAGAAGAUGACGCCAAAUAAGUUAUUUAAACUGAAUAAGUAAGUGUAUCCAGUUUGCUUCUAAACGAGAUGUUGAUAUAUUUUAGAGGCUGAGAAAAUACAAUUUGAAUGAUGUUUUUAGCUGUUCUGCAGAUGGCAAUUUAAGCUUUUUAGGAUGGCAACACGAAGUGGUUUGCUGGCAGAAGCGUGCUUAGCUCUCCUACUUUUGCCUAUCUUGAGGGGAUUGACAAUUACUAGGCUGCUUGGUAUCCACUUUGAAGCAAGUGUAAGAUACCAUAUCUGGCUUGCGACUUCAAUGAUAGUUUUUGCUGCACUUCAUGGUGGAGGCACUUUAUUCAUCUGGGGCGAGAAAAAACAUAUUUCAGAUGAGGUAUAUCUAGUCCCUUCCGCCAUCUUGAUAUUACAAAGUACUGAAACGAAAAUUUUCAUUCUUUUAAUCAUUGCGAAUACAGAUAUGGAAGUGGCAGAAAAAAGGGAGAAUAUACCUUGCUGGAGAGAUUGCUUUUGUUACAGCACUUGUAAUCUGGAUAACAUCACUUCCGCAAGUGAGAAGAAGGCGAUUUGAAAUAUUCUACUACACACAUCAUCUAUACAUAGUCUUUUUAAUAUUCUUCUUGUUUCAUACUGGUGACCGCCACUUCUAUAUGGUUUUUCCUGGUGUUUUCCUCUUUGGCAUAGACAAGCUACUUAGGAUGAUGCAGUCGAGACCAAUAAGUUGCAUCCUCUCUGCUAAAGUCUUCCCAAGCAAAGCGGUAGAGCUCAUUCUCCCCAAAGAUCCAAGUAUGUUUCAAGUUUUCUUGCAUCAUUAAAAAAGAUCAGAUAGGGAAAAAAAAAAAACUUUAGAGCAUGACCAACAAAGUCUGUGGUUUUUUAAUUAAUUUCAGGGCUGAAGUAUACUCCUACAAGUAUAAUAUUCAUGAAAAUACCAAUCAUAUCCAAGUUUCAAUGGCACCCCUUCAGCAUAACUUCUAGCUCCAAGGUCGAUGAUAGCACCAUGUCUGUAAUAAUCAAAUGUGAGGGAUGGUGGACAAACUCUCUCUAUAACAUAAUAUGUGCUCAGCUCGACUUAGAUGCUAAUAUUAAACCGUGCAUUCCUGUUGCAAUUGAAGGGCCUUAUGGACCUCCAUCACCAAACUUUUUAAGGUAAUAAAUUAUGGUCAGUGUCCUACAGUCUUCAUUUAAUAUAUUUUCACUUUAUAGUUUAAUAGUAAUAGACAUUAAAAAUAGUAAUAAUCUGUUAACCUUUUGCAGAUAUGAUAGUAUGCUCCUGAUCGCGGGUGGCAUUGGAAUAACACCAUUUCUGAGCAUGUUGCAGGGUAUUGCUUCAAUUCAGAAUAGUGGGAGCAACAAAUUCCCUUCCAGAGUAAAACUUAUUUACGUCAUCAAGAAGUGCCAAGAUAUUUGCUUAUUAACUCCAGUAUGCCCGCUACUCAUGGAACAAAAUAUUGAUCAGCUGCACUUAAAUCUAGAAGUAUUUGUAACCCAAGAAGCACAUUCUGACGCAACAGUUAGAGAACUACUGACUGAAUUUUCUCAAGUGCGAAUAGUUAACUUUGAUAGCAAAUGUUCGAGAGAUGCAGCAUAUGGGCCGGACAGAAUAAUAUGGAUGGCUGUGAUAACUGCUUCUUCAUCCAUUCUGUUUAUCGUGUUCCUAACCUUUUUCAACCAAAUAUAUCUCAAUCCAGAUCAAAAAUCAUCAGAAGCGAAGAAGCCAUCCACGGUGACAGAUCUCUUACUUAUAUGUUCUUUCAUCCUAUCGAUCACUUGCAGCAUCUUAGCGUCUUUAGUCGUGAGAAUGAAAACGCUGAAGAAAGAACCGACACCUUUUUCUGUCAAGCAAGGCACAAAACAUUCAUCUGAAGCAUCUACAGAACCUGAGGAACAUAAAAUUCAUUUCACAGGAAGGCCUAGCUUUCAAGGUAAAAUUAUUCUUACACAUGACCUGAUCAUAUAAACAUAAUACUAUUAAAAUUCAUCUAGCUAGAUACUAGGAAUCUGUCAUUCAUGGAUUUCUCUGACUUUUAACAUAUGCUUAAAAUUUCUUAAAAUUAUGUGGAAGUUCGGAACAUGAAUGGCCUGACAUGUAUCACUGAAUUUAACAGAGAUAUUCGACAAGUAUUCAGAAGAUACAAGGGGAUCCUCUGUGGGGGUCUUUGUGUGUGGAUCAGAAUCAAUGAAGGAGUCUGUGGCUUCUUGCUGCAUGCUAAACUCGCAAGAUUUCAUGAAGUGUGCUGCUCAAAAGAGAAAACCAUUCUUCAGUUUCCACUCUCUCAAUUUUACACUUUAGUCUCAGGCUCAGGCACUUUAUAGUUUAUAUCUUUGUACCUUUUAUUUUAUCAAUGCAAUAUUAGUUACUCAAAAACAAUACCAGUCAAAAUAUUGAUACACAUUUAUAUAGAUUUUCUUGAAAUUUAGAAGUACUCGAAUGGCAUGUCUCAUAAAACGAAUAUGCACAUAGUUCAUAAGUUUAAAAUUUUAAUUAUUUUGCUUUAGUAAUAAUUUAUUAAAAUUGAUUGGAACCAGUUUUUUCAGGAAAAGUCAAAAGUUAAAUCGAAUUCUAAUAUCUGACUUGAAAAGUAAUAUUCAGAUUCGAAUAUGUUUAUUUUAGAUUUUUGAAUGCAGAAUACUGGACAAAAAUUAAUAGACAUGAAUACAUGAUCGCACAAACAAAAUUUAUAUUUGCUAUAAAUUAGACAAAAAUAUUAACUAAAAUUUAAUAUACUAUUUAACUUCAAAAUAAUAUUUUUAUAUACUAUUUUAAAAUAAAGAUCACUAGUAAAUCAUGGUGUUAUAUAGUACUCCCUCUGUCCCAUUUAAUUGUAUACGUUUCUUUUCAACUGCUCGACACGCAUUUCAAUGCUCUUAUAAAAUAUAGUUCCGUAACUUAUUUUUGAGAUUUUCUUUUUAUGAAUAAAAAUAUAACAUCCAAACUUUAAUUCAGAAAAAGAAAAUUUUAAUAAUAAAUUACACAACUACAUUUUUCAGGAGCAUUAAAGUCCGUACCGCGUCCCCGUCCCCCAAUAUAUACUACUCAAGGGACGGAGGGAGUACAAAAUUACAUGCAAUACACUUUGACUCGAGAAAAACAUUAAUUUUAGUUUUAAUGUUGCCAUGAUACGAAACGUGGAUAUCGUUAUUGAUUUGUAAAAAGCUAUAUAAAUAUGUAAUUUUUUAUAAGAGAAGUGCUCGUUUAUUUAAAUAAAAUUAGCAAAACACUUUUUUUUAAAUAAAAAAAUAGCAAACACUUAAUACAGAAUAUAAAAUUUUUGUUUCCGAAAUAAAUUUUAUUUUCAUAAAAGAACUUUAUGGCCCGUUGUGAUGCGUACUGGAGAAGGGAAGUUGUAUCGAUCCAAACACUGUCUUUACUCUACACUCUCAAUAAUCAAUAUACAGUCUACCCCGAGUGUCGUGGCUCCGUAGUACACGUGUAAGUCUCUCCCUCUCUCUCUCUCUCUCUCUCUCUCUCUCUCUCUCUCUCCUUCUCUCUCUUACUAAUUCAUCUAUAUCUUGUUGUAUCUGUACUUCCAGGUUUAGGGUUUUCAAUUUUCAAGCUUCUUGAAGGCUAUGGCGACUUCUAUUGUCAUAAAGGUUCGAUUUUUACCCUCUUUUCCCUCUCUUUUUCUUGUAUAUCCCCGUAAUCUGUUCGUUGAAUCAUGUAUAAUUUAUCUAAGAACUCAGAUUGUCUACAGAACUGCACACCCACAUGUUUAUAUGUAUAAAGCUUUGAUCUUUACCUUCUUUUCUUGCUUUUUUUAUAUUUUCCCUUAAUUUUCUUGCUAAAACUUAAUGAUUUGUAGAUUUUGUUUGUUACUCGUAUUAUAAAAAGGGGACUCACACCCACCCACCCACACACACACAAUCAUUUACAAGACAUGUAUGUAUGUAUGUCAAAUCGUGAUACAGCCUGUCUUGUUGGAUGUUUAUAUAACUGUGAAGAUAUUUAGUGUGUGUGUGCGUGUGUUAUGUAGUCAUUUUUCAGCAAGAGUGUAUUUCGAGUUUCGAGAAUAUUGAAUAAAUGGAUACUGUGAUUGAAGAUAUUGAUUGGGGUCUAAUUACUUGUAGACUUUUAGAUGUAUGUGUGAUUAGUGAUUAAAAAUGGAACAAAUGGGUGCUCUCUGUUUAUUUGCGAUAUGCAUGUUUACAUUCUUUGAAUGUAUUAGAUGUGUGUGUGUGUGAAUUUUUUUGUUUAUUCAUGGUAUGUUCUUUCUCUUUUCGAAUAAAAGUUGAUUGCUGGAUAAUCUUUGCAUGUGCCUUCUUUUUGCUUAAACUGCACUGUAAUGUCUUGGACAGGUUCAAUAUGGUGAAACGCUUAGGCGUUUCAGCUCACAAGUUGUUGAUGGGAAGCUCAAUCUUGACAUGAAGGGAUUAAGAGAGAAAGUUUGUUCUCUUUAUAGCUUUCCUGCUGGUUCUGAGCUUGUUUUGACGUAUAUUGAUGAAGAUACAGAUGUGGUGACACUUGCUGAUGAAGAAGAUCUUAAUGAUAUAGUGAGGCAGUCCCUGAAUCCUCUGAGGAUAACUGUGAAAUUGAUUAGGAAAAAGAGUGCUAGUUCUCAGAGUAAUUCAAGUGGAAAUUCUACCCCUGUGAGAGAGCCUGAAGUUCAGAUUCCUUUGCAUGUUAAAAGCAAUAGUGCUACUGAAGUAUUGAACUCUCUCCCAGAUACCGUCCGUGAAACUGUUUUAAAAUUGUCAACUGAGUUGGGGUUUGAUUCUAACUCCCCAUCAGGUUAUGCUGAUCUUCUCGACUCGUUAGCGAAAAUGGGCCUUUCCUAUCUGAAAGAGGCUUCUGUAUCUGGUGCGAAAGGUGGGCCUGUAAAAAGCUUCAUUGAUGCAACAGUGACCAAGGAUGGAAACAGUUCCUUAGCUGUCGGGACUCCACAAGUUUCCGGAAAGAAAAGCAUCGACACAAAACAAGAUAACAGAUCUGGCUUUUUGGAGAACUUUGUUAUGGAAGCUACUGAUAUGGCAAUUGUCAAGGAUAAACCCUCAACUUUGUCUGCAAAAGCAACUCCUGACUCGUUUGAUGUUACUGGUGGUAGCAAGCAAGACUUCCUGGAGAACUUUGCCAUGGAAGCUACUGACAUGGAAAUUGUGGAGAAUAAACCGUCAACUUUGUCUCCAAAAACAACUUUUGACUCAUUUAAUGUUACUGCUGGCCACAAGCAAGACAAAGUCAAAGAUGAUGACUUCCGUCUUCAUGAUAAAUGGGGAAAUUGCAAUAUUGGUUUUUCCGAAGGGAACAAGGUUGGAAACAAUGCUGGUUCUACUCAAAAGAUGGAGACUAAGAACUCCACUGAAUCUCGUCAGUUCUGGAACUAUGUUAUGGGCCCUCAACCCUCGAACAAUGCUCGAUCUGGUCAUAAGUUAGAGGCUAUAAAGUCAACCGAUCCUCGUCAGGGGCGGGAGUUUGAUCCCUGGACUGGUAUUGAAUCAUCUUUCUCAAAUUUCCCAUGCUUGAAUAAGCAUCAGAAUCCUCAUCGCGUGGCCCCAUUUAAAAGGAGUUACACCACCAGUGAUGGUAUCAGCAGUAUUUUUCACCGUGGUGUGCGUUGUGAUGGCUGUGGCAUCCAUCCAAUAAGUGGACCCCGUUUUAAAUCUAAAGUGUAAAGAAUAUUUUAAUUAGUUACUUUUUCUUGUGUUGUAUAUUUCUUGAAUUAUCUCUACAGUGUUGCUAAACAGUAGCUCAUGUUGCAGGAGAGAAGAUUAUGAUCUGUGUAGCAUAUGCUUUGCUGAUAUAGGAACUGAGGCUGAAUACAUUAGAAUGGACCAUCCUAUCAGUUACAAGAAGCCUGUAAGUCGUUAUAAUUAUAUUGUUCAGUUUUACUACAGUACCAAUUAAACACAACAUUCGGUUUUACAGAUGUCGUGCUGUUUCCAGAUGCAGGAAUAUUGCCUGGGACAGUCAUUACCAACAUUGCCUGAAUAUCAUUCGAGAAUGAAACUAGAUAGUUGCUUUAUUAAAGAUGUUAACAUCCUGGAUGGAACUAUCAUGACACCUUCCUCUCAUUUUACAAAGAUUUGGCGGAUGAGGAACAAUGGUAGGGUUGUUUGGCCUCAUGGGGUACAUCUUGUAUGGAUUGGGGGUAAUAUGCUUAGCAAGGCACUUUCCCGUGACAUAAAGGUUUGGAUAUAUGAUGUUUUAAUCUCUAGAGUGUUCCCUGUGCUGUAAUAUAUACUCUCCACUAUCUUGUUUUCUUGUGGUCGUACAUUCUGCAUUUUUCCAUCUAUAUGCAGAUUCCUGCUGACGGCUGUCCUGUAGACAAGGAAAUUGACGUUGCAGUCGACUUCACUGCUCCAGUGCAUCCUGGUCGUUACGUCUCGUAUUGGAGGCUGUCCACGCCAUCAGGCCAUAAAUUUGGACAACGUGUUUGGGUUAUCAUCCAGGUCAUUUUUUGCAUUACAGACAUUCUAGUAUCAUAAUUCAUACACUUGAAUACUGUUAACAAGUAGGCUAGUUGCUUACCGUCUCAUAUCGUUGCAGGUUAGUUCUUCUCAGGACCCACUUGGCAAGAAUGCCCAUGGCAUUAAUUUGAACUGGCCUCCCGUUGGUGUUGGUGGCAUAAUGCAUCAAGGUAGCCUCCUCAACAGUGGGAAUUAUGGGAACUAUAGCAAGCCAAUGAUGGAGAAAGUGACUAACAUUCCUAAAAGGGACCAGGGGCUUAAUCUUCCUACCGAAUUUACUCCGUUAGUUGCAGGAGCUGAACUUAAUUCCGGUUUAUGUGAAGCUUCUUUGCCAUUAAAGUUCCCAGCUGCUAAUAUGUCUAAAGUCGAACCGACUUCGUUAUCUGUUCAACCAAAUCCAGAUGCUGGUGUUCCCAACUCUAUGGUAGGUGUCGUACAAGGUACGGAUGUUGUCGAGCAAAGCCUUCUACAGGAUCUUGAGGACAUGGGCUUUAAGCAGGUUGAUUUGAACAAAAAGAUUCUGAGGAAAAAUGAUUAUGAUUUGGAACAAACCCUAGAUGAUCUUUGCAAGUGGGAUCCUAUUCUCAAGGAGAUGCAGUAGAUGGUAAUUUCACUGAAAAGCCUUUGUACCUUUAUUCGUCUUACUAUCAGUUCCUUACAAAAUGUUCUUCAAUUAUUCACUCUUUUUUCCAGGUUUCUCGAACCUAAUGGACAAGAUGCGUAUAAAGAACAAUGGCUACUUAGUGUGUGGUAAUGGAUAUGGUUGCUGGACGUCGUAUGCAGACUUUUAUAGUUUCUGGUUUAUUAUGAUCAUAGACGCGUAGUUAUAUAAAUAAAUGUACCUGGGUGAAUGUUAUCUUGUGUUAGGUUUUUCGGCCAUCUAAGUACUGCUCUCUGUGGAUGGCAGACUAAUAUGCCUUAAUGUCGUGGCCGACUAAUGGCUCUAUUAUGUCUUUGUGUCUGACUGUUAAACUGUCAAGUAUUGUCAUUCCUGACUGUUAAGUACGUCUGUUAAUUACUUUCGUUCGUUAAUAUUAAAAAUAGUUCUGGUAUUGUAAUGCUGCUUUGUAUAACUGUUGAACGACGGACGACCAAGUCCAUGUCUACCACCGGAAAAGCUUGAGAUUUUGACAAGCAUAGUGCAUUUUAGAAUGGAAUUAUGUUUUUGAUUUUUGACGGUGAAACCUUUGUAUCAAUUUUGAGUCGUGUCUGAAUGAAUGUCAAGAUACAGAAAAUAUGACAAAAAUGGACAUUUGGUAGAUCUCCAAAGAAAUGGUGAUGACGUAUAUAAUAUAUAAAGUAUCAGAUAUCAAAAUGGAUCUGUGGCGCAAUGGUAGCGCGUCUGACUCCAGAUCAGAAGGUUGCGUGUUCGAUUCACGUCAGGUUCAUUAAUUUUUUUCAUUGAUCUUUUUCCACUUCAUUUUAAGAGGUAAUUGCAUAUCGCACCCCCUAACUAUCGUUCAAAAACGAUAUUGUACUCAUACUUUGAGAAACUCAACUCGCACCCCUUAUCUUUACAGUUCAAGCCCGAGAUGCACCCCUCUGCCGUUAACGCCGUUAACUCCGUUAAGUCAUUAUACAAGUAAUUGCAAAUCGGACCCCCUAACUUACGUUCAAAAACGAUAUUGUGCACAUACUUUUGGAAACUCAAAUCGCACCACCUAUUUUUACAUUUGAAGAACGAUACGCACCCCCCGGGUUAACUUCCCCCGUUAACUUCCAUUAAAAUACUUCAUCCGUCUCAAUUUACAUGUCCCUUUUGCUUUUCGAGGAGUCAAUUUGACUAAUUUUUGACCAACUAUUAGAAAAUAUUUAUUUAUUAUUUUAGGAAAUAGAAAGUUAUAUAUUAAAAUAGACUAAAUUUACCUAAAAUAUACACUUACACUAUUUUAAAUAUAAACAAUAAAUAUUAUGUGAUAUUAAUUAUAAAUAAUACUUAAAUUUAUAUAAAUUUAUAUAUUUUAGGGGGUGCGAUAUGCAAUUACCUCUAUAUUUUAUUUAAUAUAUAAAUUUAUGUAUUAUUUAUAAUAAAUAUCACAUAAUAUUUAUUUAUAUAUAUAAAAUAGUGUGUAUUUUAAGUACUUAAUAUCACAUAAUAUUUAUCUAUAUCUAUUUUAAAAUCAUUUGAUAUGUAAAAUCAUUUUGACUUGGGGAUAGCUUAAUUAAACAAAAAUUGAAAAAAAAUAUCAUCAAAAAGUAAAUCCAGUGUAUUUUAAUGUGUAACAUUCUAUUUUCUAAAAUAAUAAAUAAAUAUUUUCUCAUAGUUGAUCAAAAAUUAGUCAAUUUGACUUCUCGAACAGCAAAAAGGACAUGUAAAUUGAGACGGAGGGAGUAUUUUAACGGAAGUUAACGGAAUUUAACGGAGGGGGUGCAUAUCGUUAUUGAAAUGUAAAGAUAGGGUGUGUGAGUUGAUUUUCCCAAAGUAAGGGUACAAUAUCGUUUUUGAACGAUAGUUAGGGGGUGCGAUAUGCAAUUACCUCUCAUUUUAAUGCCAAAACUUUAGUUCUGUCAUGUUCAGAGACUUUUGUGGCCCUUGGCUACUUGCUAACAGACCAAAUUUUAUUCUUCAACCAAGUAGAAACAUGAUCAUAAGAAUUUAUGAUCAUAAACCGCAGAAAGAGGGGAAAGAAUAAGAUGCAAAGCUUAUGGACUUAUCAUCUUCGAAUAUUGUCAAAAGUUAAGGCCUAUAAAACCAUCUUCCAUUUUUGGUUCUUCAGCAGAGAGCAAGAGCAUAGCAAAUCAAGCUAACAACCACACCACAACCAUGUUUUCAAGCUCUUUCGACGAAAACUAUGCCACCUAUCAGACUCAUGAUGGUCGGAACAGGGCCAACUCAUAUGAGUACAAUACGCAUGUUCCAAGUGCAGUACCAGUGAUCCCCUAUGCUCUGGUCUCGCCUUAUGGUCAGUACCCAAGUCAUGCUCAGUUUAGUAACAUUAUGGUCUAUGAAGGCGAAGCACCGCGCCUGAUGACUAGCCAGCACCAGAAACAUCAGCAGGCUCACAAGGGCAGAGUUCAUUUCGCGGAGCCUGACACAAUUCAGUACCCAAAUCUUGGUCAGUUCAACGAAGCAUCUCCCCUCAUGAAUAAGCAGCACAGGCAACAUCAGCAUGCUCCCCAGGCUCAUAAGGGCAGAGUUCAUUUCGCGGAGCCUGACACAAUUACUAAUGAUCACGCUCCACAGGCUCGUAAGGGUAGAGUUCAUUUUGAAGCAGAUACUAAAACUGUGGAUCAGAAGAACGGGAGAGUUAAAGUUCAGCAAAAUAAUAUUGAUGCAGAUGCUGAUGGAUUCAUUAGGCUGAAGCACAAGAAUUUCGAGCUUUCCAGGUGGGAAACCUUCAAAGGCUAUUAGAGGCCGUUCUGGAUUUCAAAUGAAAUCCAAAUCAAAAUUCCCAAACAGGUUAUUUGAUCAAAUCCAGAAUUUCAACUGAAAUCCAGCUUCCCAAACAGACCAUUAAGGUAAUCAAAGGGCCAGAUGAUAUAUUUGUAUUGCAGAAGUCAUUUUCAUCCCAGUUCAAUAUGAAUAAUGUAUCAAGGUACCAUAUCUUGGCACUGUAUAUUUAACUGUUAUGCCUGAUUUAUCUUCGAGUAAAGCAUACUACUUUCUGAUUCGUCGUAGAAACUAUAAAUCAUGACAGAACAAGGAAACUGAAAAUGUCAUCCAACAGUUCAACAAUGUAAUCUUCUCUCCGAGGAACAUCGUCUUUGAAAUUUAGAAUGACGCCUUACUAGGAUCAUAUAUUAUUCAACGCCCUUUUCUAUUUUACUAAAACAUCUAUGUGUCAGAGUGAAGAUCAUCGCAGCUAGGUCACAGUUUCCAUUUCGGGAUUAGAUUUUUUCUCAGGUUCGUCUCAUGUAUUCCUCAUGGUUUUAAAUCCUCUAGUUCUUCGAAAUUUUUCCAGAACCUUAACAAAAUCUGGGACAAAUAUCAAAAUCACUCGUUGGAUUAAAUAUAUCAAAUUAGUCACGGAUUUUCUAAUUGAUUCAAUUCACUUACUAAUUUAAAUUUUUUAUCAGGUAAAUCAUAUUAAAUUGAUACAAAAUUCCAAUUUUAUAAUGACAAAGCUCAUACAAAUCAAAUUAGUAAUCGAAUAGAGUCAAUUUUAAAAUAAACGACUAAUUUGAUUUACNGUACCCAAAUCUUGGUCAGUUCAACGAAGCAUCUCCCCUCAUGAAUAAGCAGCACAGGCAACAUCAGCAUGCUCCCCAGGCUCAUAAGGGCAGAGUUCAUUUCGCGGAGCCUGACACAAUUACUAAUGAUCACGCUCCACAGGCUCGUAAGGGUAGAGUUCAUUUUGAAGCAGAUACUAAAACUGUGGAUCAGAAGAACGGGAGAGUUAAAGUUCAGCAAAAUAAUAUUGAUGCAGAUGCUGAUGGAUUCAUUAGGCUGAAGCACAAGAAUUUCGAGCUUUCCAGGUGGGAAACCUUCAAAGGCUAUUAGAGGCCGUUCUGGAUUUCAAAUGAAAUCCAAAUCAAAAUUCCCAAACAGGUUAUUUGAUCAAAUCCAGAAUUUCAACUGAAAUCCAGCUUCCCAAACAGACCAUUAAGGUAAUCAAAGGGCCAGAUGAUAUAUUUGUAUUGCAGAAGUCAUUUUCAUCCCAGUUCAAUAUGAAUAAUGUAUCAAGGUACCAUAUCUUGGCACUGUAUAUUUAACUGUUAUGCCUGAUUUAUCUUCGAGUAAAGCAUACUACUUUCUGAUUCGUCGUAGAAACUAUAAAUCAUGACAGAACAAGGAAACUGAAAAUGUCAUCCAACAGUUCAACAAUGUAAUCUUCUCUCCGAGGAACAUCGUCUUUGAAAUUUAGAAUGACGCCUUACUAGGAUCAUAUAUUAUUCAACGCCCUUUUCUAUUUUACUAAAACAUCUAUGUGUCAGAGUGAAGAUCAUCGCAGCUAGGUCACAGUUUCCAUUUCGGGAUUAGAUUUUUUCUCAGGUUCGUCUCAUGUAUUCCUCAUGGUUUUAAAUCCUCUAGUUCUUCGAAAUUUUUCCAGAACCUUAACAAAAUCUGGGACAAAUAUCAAAAUCACUCGUUGGAUUAAAUAUAUCAAAUUAGUCACGGAUUUUCUAAUUGAUUCAAUUCACUUACUAAUUUAAAUUUUUUAUCAGGUAAAUCAUAUUAAAUUGAUACAAAAUUCCAAUUUUAUAAUGACAAAGCUCAUACAAAUCAAAUUAGUAAUCGAAUAGAGUCAAUUUUAAAAUAAACGACUAAUUUGAUUUACAUUAGGGCUGUUAUUCGGUCCGGGCGAGCCGAGUUUCGAGCCGGGCAUAAUUCGAGCCGAGUUUUAUUUAGUCGAGCCGAGCCGGCUCGUUUAAGAAAACGAGCCUAAACCUUUGCCCGAACUCGACUCGUUUAUUUUCACGAGUCGAGUCGAGCUGGCUCGUUUAGUUAAACGAGCCGAGUUUAACGAGUCGGGCGAGCCGGCUCGUUUAAUUUAACACUAAAUCGAGCCUAAAAUGCUACCCGAAUCCGACUCGUUAAUUUUCACGAGUCGAGCCGAGCCAGCUCGUUUAACAAAACGAGCCAAAACCUCUGCCCGAACUCGAGCUCGAUUAACUAAACGAGCCGAGCCGAGCCCAUCAAAACGAGUUCGAGCCGGGCGAGCUCGCGAGCUGCCCGGAUCGGAUUACAGCACUAAUUUACAUAAAACAAGUAUGGUCCUCCAUAUAUUCCAGGAACCUUUUCAAUUACCCUAUGUAUGACCGGAUUUUCUAGUGGGAACAAUCACUUUUUGUUGAGAUGGAAGGCUUUUAUUAGCCAAAAUCUCAUUAAUAAUCAUGCCCUCUGCAGAUGCACAAAAAACAUGAUUAGUAAAAGCCCAAGACCCAUUUAUAAUUUACCUCCGGAGUAAUUUUUAUACAAACUUAUUUAUAUGAAAACGAUCAGUCACAUACAGUGACGGAACCAGGACUAAAAGUUAGGGGGGCUGAAAUUUUUUUCGUCAUACAUACUUGCAAAAAUAGCUUUCUCAAUAUACUAUCAUUCAUUCAUGCAUCUUCCAUCCUAUUACGCUGAUAAGUAUUGAUUGCUUUCAUAGCAAAGAAAACUCUCUCAACAGUAGCAAUGACAACCAGUAAAAUCAUAGUUAACUCAACCAGAAGAUAAACUAAGGGAUAAGCAGUGUGUCUUUGUGUUUUAACCAUCAUGACAGAAAGAUUUUCUAUAUUUUGAAGUUCAGAUUAAUCUCCACUCUCAUAUCAUAGAUAAAAUUGUGUAACUGAUUUGGCAACAACUCCAAGUCUAGUUAAGAGAAAUCCUUUGCAUAAAAUUGUGCAAGGCAGACCAUUUUUGAGUUAUUGAAAUUUGAAAAUUAAUUUCUAGGAUCCAAAGAGCCAAUAUAAAGUCAACGUGUGCCUAUGACUUAUGAGAACAUGUCCAAAAGCUUAUUCGUAUGAGCUCUUUAGCCAAAAUUUGAAGAAUAUGGAGAUGAAAUGAACUCCAACAAGCUCCUAACACCUCUUCAAGAACUUAGGAGCUCUAUUUGCUUCCUCAACAAUGAGGAACACACUUUCCCUCUUAACUAUAUUUUAUAUUAUUUUUCUAAUGUACAAAGUACUCAGCAUGCAUCAUACAGUUUGCAUGAUCCAGUUGCUCUGAGUGUAUCUGUUUGAAUGUAUUUGUUAAUUAGACUCUUUUUAGACUAAGUGUCUUCUCUUUUCUUCUUUUAUAAUAAGCCCCUCUCUAUGACAUUUAUAAUUCAACGGGGCUAAUAAAAUUAUAUUUAUAUCACAAAUUCAGCGGGAGCUUAAGAAAAAAUAUACACUGUAUUUUUGAGGUUAGGGGGGACUCUAGCAUCCCCUAGCCCCUUCUGGUUCCACCACUGGUCACAUACCUUUAAACAUUGCAUAAUUAAUUACAAAGAGACGGCAGCAGAAUAGUUAGUUGUAUGAGAAUGACAGGCUUAUUAAUUUAAUUAAUUUUACUUGGUACAAAUAAUGUCCCACCAUAAUACUAGUAUUAUUGAUGGUGCUUUGUAGAUGCAAGUAUCACCGUCCUCAUUCCGUCACCACAAAACUCCACUUAGGAAUAAUUAAACAUUUAAUUACUUCACGCUCAAGCAAAUUCUUCCAACAUGUCAUGUCUUUUCUUCUCAAUUGUGUCCAUUUCAGAGAGUUUCAUCGUAGCAGUUAUGGCAUGUGGUGAUUUGAUUUUUUUUAAUUAUAUAUUUUCGAGUUCGUGCUCGUAUCGCGUUUUUAAAAAGGUUUGAAUUAUAAAAAUUCAUAUUUAAAUAAGAGUUGAAAAUAUAUUUUAAAAUUGAAUUCAAACACGAUAUUAUUAUGCGUUUGUUCAAUUUCGAUCAUGUAUGUAGAUGCCGUAUGAUUUUUUAUUAUUGAAUUAUUUUUUCUUGUUAAAAAAAAUAAAUUGAAUUUAAACUUUCAUUUUCAGAGUAGAAUCAGAAUUACGAAAUAGUCACGAUUAAAUUAACAAAUGAUCAAAUAUAAAUACAGGUGAAACUCUCCCAAAAUUUAACAAAUUAUUUUUAUAUUUUUUUACAACAGUGUUAUAUAUAUAUAUAUCCGAAUUAUUGAAUUUUUUAUUAACUUUUAAAAAAUAUUUUUACCGAUUUAUCUAUUUUACUUUGACUUAACUAAAAGUCUCUUCUAAUAAAUUUUUGAUAAAUCCUAAAUCAACUGAUAAACCGAUUGUUUUCUGUUCCCGCUGAUUGAUCACUCCUGAUUCCCAAAAUUUUCAACCUCUGAGCAUGAUUAGUGACUGAGGACGUGGACUAAUUCGAUUCUUAAACAUCUUUACAAAAGUCCCACGUAUGACUUUUUGUUAAUUAAACACAAAACACACUUAUUAAAUCUUAACAAGACAAGGAAACACUGAAAUGCAUCCAGCCACUUGCAAAAGCUUCCAGGCCUAUCCUACUCAACUGUGACUGUAAAGAAAAGGAGGAUGACUCUGUUCUCAACUGUAUCCAUUAGCCACGUGUCAGCUCUGUAUUGACCAGCUUGUUGUGUGUUCGAAAAGCUUGCUUUUUCUUCAAUGGCCAGCCCCAUGUAGAUAGCUUUUCAACAUAUCAAAUCACUUGCAACGUACCAUCAUUCUCUCCUUUUGAAUAUUUUAUUAUUCACAAGAGAAAAAAAUGAAACACCCCUUAAAGUUCUUGUUUAUUUAACUUAGUGAAGGAGUAUUAGUAUUAUUAAAUAAUUGUUUUCUUACAUAUAUAUUUGGGAUUUUGAUUUUUGAAGACAGAUGGAGUUCUGGGCUUCAAGGGUUCACUCUGCCAAGAGCUUUUCUGCAGUUCACUCUGCUCACCUUAACAACUCAGGUAUGUUUCUGGUAUUAUAUUUCGGUACAAUUCAUCUACUAAAAGGCAAAAAAGGGUAUUCUUGAUUCUAGAUUCUUGAUUUUAUUUUACUUUUUUGUUUUAGAUCCAGUUUUAUAAAUUUCAAGAUUUUCUUUAGUUAAAGACUUAUAGCUCAUGAAUUUACUGAGUUUGCAUAGAAUUGCAUAUUUGAUGUUAGCAAUCAGCUUGAGUGAUAAACCCUUUUGAGGGUUUGACAGAAAGGUGCAAUCUUUAUGUUGCACAGUAGCUAACUUUACUCUCUGUAGUUACUAUACUUUAUUAGUUUACUUCAUGAGUUCAUCUAUGUAUAUAUUCUUAUAGUUUUUGUUGCUAUGAAUCUAGUUGUUUACUUGUUAGUUACUAUCAGAUCUUGUGACCUGGUUGAAGUAAAGAUUAAUGGACCAGAUGAUUGAUUAAUUGCAGAUGAUAUGGGAGAUGAUGAUAUGAGAGCUUGGUUUCCUUGCCCCUUCUGUUAUGUGGAUAUCGAGGUUCAGGCAAUUUGUGUCCAUCUACAAGAAGAACACUGCUUUGACCUAAGAAACGCGGUACUGCUAGUAGUUUGUUAUACUAUGCAUACUUUAUCAUUCGUGAUGUAUGUAUGCCAGUUUCAUCUGUCAUUGGUUGAUUCAGAAGUUUAUAGCAUCUACAGAUUUGAUGCAUAUAUGCGUUAAGAUUUUUCGCCACUUUCAAGUUAGCAUUGACAUUGAGUGUCUUAAGAAAUUUAAAAUAGAACAAGAAGUAUUGUUGUCCUAGUAGUGUGAUAUCUCAGUGGAUUGAUUCAUGUUACUUGAGCGUGAAUUUCUUCUACCAAGGCAAUGUUGAUGAUCAUUUUCACAGCUGAUACGCUUAUAAUUGUUUUACAGGUUUGUCCGAUUUGUGCUGCAAAUCUGGGGAAAGAUGCCACAGCACAUUUCACAACUCAGCAUGCUCAUUUGGUUGAGGUUUGAUAUUGCACCAGACAACAUCUGAUUCACUGUAUAAAACAUGUGUAAAGUUUCAUAUUUUUGUUUUCAGCGGAGAAGAAAGUCCCAAAAAUCGGGUUCAUGGAGUAACAAUUCAAUGGGGCCUAGCAAGAACAUGCGAGAAAUGAACUCAUAUUAUAGUCAACAACAGAUGAAUGGUAGAGGUCAUAUGCAUGAAAGUGUACCUGAUCCGCUCCUCUCACCAUUUCUGUGCACUAUACCUUUGCCUGAUCAAGAAACUAAGGUAGAGGUAGAUGCAGAUAUAUCCCGCACUUCUGAAUUAACCACCUCUGAGGCUACAAGGUACUAGCACUUCUGCUUACGAAUGCUAUUCUCUCUGCUAUCUUGUGUUUGCAGCUUGUAUACUCUAUCAUAUGGCAUUCAGAACCCGAAAGUCCAUAUUUGUAAAUUCUACUGAUUAGCAUCUAGCAUAGAUAAAUUCAUGAACUUUGCAUAGAACAUUCCAGCUACUCUUUGUAGAAGGGUAUAGUUAUACAACAUAAUUUUUCUCGUGUUAUUGCUAACCAUGUCAAUAGAUUACAUGAAGAUAUGAUGUGGUUGAUGUAACAAACUGAGUGUGAAUUUCUGUUGAGGAUAGAACAUAGCAGUCGGCUAUAUAUUUUUGUCAUCUUUUAUAUUUGUAUAUGAUUCUUUUGUGUUAAGUCUUCAUUUUUUAAUCUAUGGUAAUUAUUUAGAUACGGAUCAUUCAUAUAUGUAGCGGCAAGUCAGUUUAAUUUGUAGAUAACAGAGAUGAACACACACAUCGUGUAGUCUUAGAUGGAGUAACAGAGCUCUAACCUUUCGUUCCAUUAUGCAGCACUAAGUCCGCUGUAUUAGAUGAAGCUCAAGAACAGGAUUACAGAGAGCGGACACAGCGUGCUGCAUUCACUCAGCAGUUGAUCUUGUCCACCAUAUUUUAGUCUGUCCGACACCCUCUGCAGAAUGUUUCCAGAUUUGUGCCCGAGUCUGAAUUUUACUUCAUAAUCUUCAGUCACUUUCCUGCUGCACAUUACCUCGAGAUGCAUCAACGUUCAUCGAUUUCCCUAUGAAGCAGCCAUAUAAUGUCUGUUAAAAUCAACAACAAUGUAUAUCUACAAAGUCCAAAGUAGUAUCAUGCAUCUAAUCUUCGAAUGCUCUUGUAAUUCCUAGUCUUACUAUAGUAAUACUCUAAUUCCAAAGUCUCUCCACUCUCCAGUGAUGUAUGAAUGCAGCUGUUUCUAUAUAGCUUAAAGAUGAAUUAGCCUCUUUCUACAGUUUAAGAGUUGGAAGAACUGCAGUCGUAUAAAAUCUGACUAUUUUGUAAAUAUUAUUUGAAGAAAGUACUUGCAAGAUUAAAAGAAAUUUCAAAUUAUCAUUUUUAUAACUCUGAACAAUAAUAAUUAACUAAUUAAAGUGGAAUAUAUUUGAAAUUAAUUGUCAUACAAGAACCUUGUUUCUUUGUUUAUAUUUCUCCAAAAAAAAAAAAAAAGGUUAAAAUUUUAUAUUCAAUUUUUAUUCAGUAUCCUAAAAAUUCUCGAUUAAUUCUUAAAAAAAAUUCACCGUUUCACCAAUUACAUUCCGAUUUUACUAAAAUUUCCUGAUUUAUUUUAAAAAACUCCAAUAACUCCGGAAUCAAUAUGUCAACCAAUUAGUGUUCCGAUUCUCGAUUUUAAGAUCAUGCUCUUUUAUUCUAUAUACUUACACCACACCACCACUAUUUGUGUACAAACUUCAACACGUAGAAUUGCUGCUUAAAUUUCCAUGCCCCAAAGUUAAAUGAAAGAGACCCCCAGUUAUAUGAAGACAAGAUGAAACAUCAGCAAUGGCCAUGGCAACUGGAGGAGGCACACAGUUUGGGUUCUUAGACUGCAAAAACAUCCAGGAUGAAGCUGGGGUGAAAUUUAGUGGAGGUCCGAACCGACUGAUGUUGAAGAAUCAGCGGAUGAGUUGGAACUUGCAGAAAUAUUUUCAUACUUUAUGUUCAUAAUAUAGCCAGCCAUUAUAUAGCCAUCCAUGUAUAGAUUAUACAGCUGAACAGAAUCCCCCAAUAACAAAGAUGGGCAUGUAUAUCAUUAUUUGUGAGCAAAUUGCAAUGAAAGUGUGACAUCCAAAAUAUUUCACAAGUAAGAAGUCACAGUUAAGCAUACAAAUUAUUACUUACUGAAGUCACAGAAGUAGAUAGAUUUCACAAGUAAGAAGUCACAGUUAAGCAUACAAGUAAGAAGUCACAGUAAUUACUUACUGAAGUUGAGAUUGGAUACCAUGGACCCAUGAUCAAAACAGAAGUAACAAUAAGUAGAUAGAUUUCUACGAGGCAAAUCGCAAUGUGAAAUAGUACUGAUGAUCAUUAAAAUGCCAUUUGCAGUUGCAGAUAUAUUGAUGACUUAUUAAAUAUGUAGCUACGCAAGUGAUUGUUAUGUUCAAUACACCCCCGGUCUAUAACUUCUCCGCGGAUAAAAGUUGUAGAACUACCCGACUUUUAAUAGAGCAGCAUCAGCAUCUCAAGUAGCUAAACAACACUGAAAAGGCUGAAACUAAGAAAGAAAGUUAAAACAAUUAAUUUGAACAUGAGAUAGUACAAUCCAACUAAAAGGAGUGCUAAGAAAUGAGAAAUCAAGAACCAGACUCGUUGCUGCAUAUGUAACAUUGGAUCCAGCAUGUUUAAGAGACAAGGGGCAAAACUAAUUUCAAAAAAGAAAAAAGACAAAAGAUUGAAGCUUUGAAUCACCCAAAAGUGAAGGCCAUCCCACCAAGUUCAAUCACUCAAUAAUGGCAUUAAUAACUCCAGCACCAACAGUCUUUCCUCCUUCUCUAAUAGCAAACCUCAUUCCUUGCUCACAAGCAAUCGGCACAAUAAGCUCCACAACCAUCUUCACACGGUCACCAGGCAUAACCAUUUUCGACUCUUCAUCCUUCUCAUUCUUAAUAGUAGUCACUUUCCCAGUGACAUCUGUAGUUCUCAUGUAAAACUGAGGCCUGUAUCCAGUGAAAAAAGGUGAAUGCCUCCCACCUUCAUCCUUCUUCAAAAUAUAUACAAUCGCCUCAAACUUUGUAUGAGGUGUAAUCGAUCCAGGCUUAGCCAAAACCAUCCCUCUCUGGAUAUCAAUCUUCUGAAUACCUCUUAACAACAACCCGACAUUAUCACCAGCCAAAGCCUCAUCAAGAAACUUCUGAAACAUUUCAACUCCAGUCACUGUUGUACCCCUAGUAUCCUUCAACCCCACAAUAUCAACGGUCUCCCCAACCUUAAUCGUCCCUCUCUCAACACGACCAGUGGCAACAGUCCCACGUCCCGUGAUCGAAAAAACAUCCUCAAUUGCCAUUAAGAAGGGCAACUCAGUCUGCCUCUGUGGAAUAGGAAUAUAACUAUCAACAUUAUCCAUCAAAGCAUAAAUCUUGUCAACCCACUCAUUGUCCCCUCUCUUAAUCGCGGGAUUCUCCAUCAGUGCUUCCAAUGCCAACAAUGCUGAUCCUGACACAAUUGGAAUAUCAUCCCCUGGAAACUCAUACUUAUUCAAUUCCUCCCUAACCUCCAACUCCACAAGCUCCAAAAGCUCGGCAUCAUCAACCUGAUCCUCUUUAUUCAAGAAAACAACCAUAUUCGGAACCCCCACUUGUUUCGCCAACAAAAUGUGUUCUUUAGUCUGUGGCAUUGGCCCAUCAGCACCCGAAACCACUAAAAUCGCUCCGUCCAUCUGCGCAGCCCCUGUAAUCAUAUUCUUGACAUAAUCAGCAUGCCCUGGACAAUCCACAUGAGCAUAAUGCCUACUCUCAGUCUCAUACUCAACAGUAGCUGUAUUAAUAGUAAUCCCACGCGCUCUCUCCUCAGGAGCAGCAUCAAUUUCAUCGUACUUCUUGGGUGCAGACCCUCCCAUAGCAGCAAGCGCCAUGGUCAACGCAGCAGUCAGAGUGGUUUUCCCAUGGUCAACGUGCCCAAUUGUGCCUAUAUUGAUAUGGGGUUUCUUCCUUUCGAAUUUCCCACGCGCUGCGCGUACGGUCAGCCUGGUGGCGCGUGAGCGAAACGGGGAGGUGGGUGUUUGAAAUUGGGAGGACAACGUUGAUGGGUUGGCGAGAAAAGAGGAGGUGAGGAUAAAUUUCCGUGAACUUGUCGGAGAAAAGGCGGAAUUAGGGUUAGGGUUUGCAGGGUUUAUGAGGUUUAUAGAAGAAGAUAGAGCUGAAAUCGCCAUUUUUGCUUCCAGCAAACAAGAGGGGUUUGGAGAAUUUUGGGAGAGAUGAGAUAAUAACAAGGAGAUUGUGUGUUUUGUGUGAGUGUGUGUUCUCCUUUAUCUAUCUACAACACAACAUUUUGUAUCUAUAGUCUGUAGAGAUACAAUUUCUAACCUCAUAUCUCACCCUAUCCACUUUCACAAUUUCAAGAUAACAUUUUCAUUUUUACUGUUUUUCUAAAAUUAAAUAAAUAAAUUACAAAAAAAAAAUAAACAAACAAGAGAUUUGGGAAGAGUUUGCUAUGUGUUCAGAGUGAAUUUAUGGUUUGUAGAAAUUUUCAUUAUAAAUAUUUAUUUUUCUACUCCAAGUGUUCAUGAAAGGCACUAGUUGAUUUCUAAAUGCUUUGGUUUUUUAAGUUGUUUGUGACAUGUUCUUUGAUGUUUCAGUUUUGCUAAAUCUCUGGCUCUCUUGGAAAUUUUUGUGGUUGUUGAAGUGCAUUUGUGUCGCUCUGUAAACUACAUGCUACUCCAACCAACAAGUGAAAUUAUAUCUGAUAAAGCCAUCAAAUCCCAAAAAUAAAUUUUUUGUAAUCAAUACUUCUGCAGAGAAUAUUGGAUACAACUUGAUAUAACUCUAUAAAGCUCGUAUUGAUUCAUUUAAAUAAGAUCAUGGUGCAGAUAAUGACAUUAUUGUGAGCCGGUGAACCAUUUCAUAGCAAUCUGCCUUGCCACCCGAAAGACUGAAUCCAGUUCUGUACCUCCUGGAGGCACACAUCUAACUUGUUCUUAAGCGGAUUCAGUCUAUCCCUAAGAUAGUAGAGUUUAGCCCUCCUCACUUUCUUCUUGUCCAGCACCUUUAUCUCCUUUAUAUUAGGCGAAUACCUGCACCAGACACCCUAUUUGGUCACCAAGUGCAGGAAUGUCAAAGAAAAGAUGUAAUCAAAGCACAGAACCAAAAUCCUUAAGUGCUUUUAAUUAUUAUGUGAACAGGUUCACAUAAUCAAGCAAAAGACUUGCAGCAACAAGCAUGUCCAAGUAAAUAUACAAUCAGUAAUGUAUUAAUCUUUGAAGGUGAGAGGCCAUAUCUAACUUUGUAAAUUGAAUUGUACAUCAAGUAUAUUUAAACAGAACAGCUAGUACUUGGUAACUAGAAGACUAUCACUUUCAAAAAACUGGUACACCUCAUGAUAUAUGUUACAGUUCAUCGAGUUCUUUUGUAACCAACUCUUAACAUGACAAUAUCACUAAGUUCUGUCAAUUCACAAGAUACGAUGAAAGGCAAGAAGAGUAGUUGCAUUGUAGAUGCUGUAAGAUGAUAAAUUAAUUCAAGGGUCACAGAAUAGUCUCGCUUAGCAGCAAUUCGCCAUAUUUCAUUUGUUAUUACUAUUACAUAUACACCACCAGAGUUGAGCAUGAGCAAGUAAGAAUUUUAACACUGAGAGGAGAAAAAACGUAUUUCAGUGGACUAAAGCUAAUAAAUAUUCAUAGAGAGAAGUUCUGCAUGAGUAGGUUUCACCUUAUAAGAACUCUCGCAAACCAUUAUAUUGUGUUUGGUUGGAUAAUUUGGAAUGGACUGGAUGAUGGAUUGAAUUAAAGGGAAGUAAUGGAGGAAGGACGCAAGAUUUGAAAAUAAGAUAAUUCACUGUUAUGAGAUUUGGGAAGAGAACAGGGAUGAGGGAAACAGCUUCCAGAUAGACUGAAAACUUUUGCAACCUUUUGAAAAGCAUUUAUAUUAACUAAAUAACUAAUAGCACUGAAGAAGCCAUCUGCAGUAUAACAGAAUUCAUAUACACCACUUACCUAGACACACAGAGCAACUCAAGUCAUCGAAAAUAAUACAAGAAAGUCCGCGGCAGCCCCAGAAAAGCAGACAAGCAUACUGUAUUUUCAUAAUAUAGCCAGCCAUUAUAAAGUCAUCCAUGUAUAGAUUAUACAGCUGAACAGAAUCCCACAAUAACAAAGAAGGGCAUGUAUAUCAUUAUUUGUGAGCAAAUUGCAAUGAAACUGUGACAUCCAAAAUAUUUCAGUAACAGUUAUGCAUACAAAUUAUUAGUUAAUUCUUGCUGAAGUUGAGAUUGGAUACCAUGGACCCAUGAUCAAAACAGAAGUAACAAUAAGUAGACAGAUUUCUAUGAGGCAAAUCACAAUGUGAAGUAGUACAGAUAAUCAUUAAAUGCCAUUUGCAGUUGCAGAUAUACCGGUGACUUGUUGAAUAUGUAGCUAAGCAAGUGAUUUUAUGUUCAAUACACUCCUGAUCUAUAACUUCUCCACGGAGAAUAGUUGUAGAACUACAUAACUUUUAAGAGAGCAGCAUCAGCAUCUCAAGUAGAGCCGGCCAAACGGGCGGGCCGUGCCGGUUCGGGCCGGUUCAAACGGGUUCCGAACCGUCAUCGGUGGAACCGUAACCGGCCCGUCAAACUGGCGGUCCGUGCCGUGCCCGGGCCGGGCUGGGAAAAAGAAAGUCGUAACCGUGAUAUACGGUUUACACGGGUUUUGCGGUUCAGCGGUUCGGGCCGAAUAAUAACAUGCUGCGGUUCUACGGUUCGGUUAUACGGUUCACGGGUUUGCGCAUGUGACUUUGUGUUAGUAACUAAAGUACAACAGUUGUCAGUGGCUGAAUCACUGUCAAGUCCAACAGAGACACAUAGUACUUGUUUUAUUUUUUGUUUCUUUUUUGUUUUUUUUGCCGGUUUAUUUUUGUUUUUAUUUUUUUUAAUUUAGUUUAAGUAUUAUUAUGUAACUAAUUAAGAGAUCGUAAAUUUAUGGAUUAAGUAUUAUUAUGCAACUAAUUAAUAAAUUAAUGGGUUAAGUAUUAUUAUGUAACUAAUUUUAACAAUUCUUUAAUGUUAAAAAUUGGAUAAUAAAGUUUUAUAUGAUAUUAGUUUUGGAAAUUAUUUUUGUUUAGUGUUAUUAUGUAAUUAAUUAUCAAUAAAGUGUAAACUAAUAAAUAAUUACCUAAUUUUAAAAACUUAUCCGAAAUAAAACUAAUUAAAUUAUUUUUAAAAAUAAAAUUACCUAAAUUUAAAAACUGCACCGAAACAAAAUUAAUUAAUUCUUUUGCAAAUAAAAUUACUGAAAUUUAAAAACUAAAACGACACGAAAUAAAAUUAAGUAAUUUUUUUAUAUAGUAAACGAAAAUAAACUAAACUAACUAAACAACAACUAAAAUUAACAAAAUAAAACAAAAACUAACAAAUUAAAACUCAUGCAAAAAGAACAGAAAGCAUUGUGAAGUUUGCUGAUGGACUAAAAAUUGGUGGUCGAUGCACGAGUCUACGGUUCCGCGGUUCCGCGGUUCAAACCGCGGUUCCGCGGUUCAAACCAGGCCGGUUCCACGGGUUUCCGCGGUUCCGGGCCGGUUACGGUUCGGUCUUCCAUUUCCUAACCCGUAUUCGGCACGUGCUCAGUAUCGGUUCAGGUCGGUUUUGAACCGGCCCGUGUUUAGACGGUUACGGGCGGUUAAAAAGUCGGUUCGGGGCGUGCCGGUUCGGUCGGUUCGGCCCGUUUGGCCACCUCUAAUCUCAAGUAGCUAAGCAACAUUAAUAAGGGUGACACUAAGAAAGAAAGUCAAAACAAAUUAAUUUGAACAUGAGAUAGUACAAUCCAACUAAAAGGAGAGCUAAGAAAUUUAGAACCAAACUCGUUGCUGCAUAUGUAACAUUGGAUUCAGCAUGUUUAAGAGACAAGGGGCAAAACUAUUUUAAAAAAGAAAAAAGACAAAAGAUUGAAACUUUGAAUCACCCAAAAGUGAAGGCCAUCCCACCAAGUUCAAUCACUCAAUAAUGGCAUUAAUAACUCCAGCACCAACAGUCUUUCCUCCUUCUCUAAUAGCAAACCUCAUUCCUUGCUCACAAGCAAUCGGCACAAUAAGCUCCACAACCAUCUUCACACGGUCACCAGGCAUAACCAUUUUCGACUCUUCAUCCUUCUCAUUCUUAAUAGUAGUCACUUUCCCAGUGACAUCUGUAGUUCUCAUGUAAAACUGAGGCCUGUAUCCAGUGAAAAAAGGUGAAUGCCUCCCACCUUCAUCCUUCUUCAAAAUAUAUACAAUCGCCUCAAACUUUGUAUGAGGUGUAAUCGAUCCAGGCUUAGCCAAAACCAUCCCUCUCUGGAUAUCAAUCUUCUGAAUACCUCUUAACAACAACCCGACAUUAUCACCAGCCAAAGCCUCAUCAAGAAACUUCUGAAACAUUUCAACUCCAGUCACUGUUGUACCCCUAGUAUCCUUCAACCCCACAAUAUCAACGGUCUCCCCAACCUUAAUCGUCCCUCUCUCAACACGACCAGUGGCAACAGUCCCACGUCCCGUGAUCGAAAAAACAUCCUCAAUUGCCAUUAAGAAGGGCAACUCAGUCUGCCUCUGUGGAAUAGGAAUAUAACUAUCAACAUUAUCCAUCAAAGCAUAAAUCUUGUCAACCCACUCAUUGUCCCCUCUCUUAAUCGCGGGAUUCUCCAUCAGUGCUUCCAAUGCCAACAAUGCUGAUCCUGACACAAUUGGAAUAUCAUCCCCUGGAAACUCAUACUUAUUCAAUUCCUCCCUAACCUCCAACUCCACAAGCUCCAAAAGCUCGGCAUCAUCAACCUGAUCCUCUUUAUUCAAGAAAACAACCAUAUUCGGAACCCCCACUUGUUUCGCCAACAAAAUGUGUUCUUUAGUCUGUGGCAUUGGCCCAUCAGCACCCGAAACCACUAAAAUCGCUCCGUCCAUCUGCGCAGCCCCUGUAAUCAUAUUCUUGACAUAAUCAGCAUGCCCUGGACAAUCCACAUGAGCAUAAUGCCUACUCUCAGUCUCAUACUCAACAGUAGCUGUAUUAAUAGUAAUCCCACGCGCUCUCUCCUCAGGAGCAGCAUCAAUUUCAUCGUACUUCUUGGGUGCAGACCCUCCCAUAGCAGCAAGCGCCAUGGUCAACGCAGCAGUCAGAGUGGUUUUCCCAUGGUCAACGUGCCCAAUUGUGCCUAUAUUGAUAUGGGGUUUCUUCCUUUCGAAUUUCCCACGCGCUGCGCGUACGGUCAGCCUGGUGGCGCGUGAGCGAAACGGGGAGGUGGGUGUUUGAAAUUGGGAGGACAACGUUGAUGGGUUGGCGAGAAAAGAGGAGGUGAGGAUAAAUUUCCGUGAACUUGUCGGAGAAAAGGCGGAAUUAGGGUUAGGGUUUGCAGGGUUUAUGAGGUUUAUAGAAGAAGAAGAUAGAGCUGAAAUCGCCAUUUUUGCUUUAAGCAAACAAGAGGGGUUCGGAGAAUUUUGGGAGAGAUGAGAUAAUAACAAGGAGAUUGUGUGUUUUGUGUGAGUGAGUG
rnacentral:lncRNA from 1 species